rnacentral:lncRNA from 1 species
GUCAUUGUUUGAUUUUUGGUUGUUUGAUCACACUCGAAAUCAUGUAUCUACUUAUCGUAUUUUUACCCCUGCUCGAUAGUUUUGUAGCAGGUUGUUUCGGAUGUUCUCUAGAAAAUAUUCAGGUUGUGACGCGUAUAUCUCGCUCUAUUUAGAUUUAAGCUUCACUAUGGCAUAAUCUAUACUCAUCCAACAAUAACUGUCACCUGUAAUCCGAGUAGGUGUGUCUCCUAGAGUGAUUGAUUUUGAUGCACUACUUUCUGAAUAGUUUAUAGGUUCUGAAUAUCAAAGUUCUUUAUUCUAGCUGCAAUAAUGUAUUUGAUUAUUAGGACAAGCAUUACAUCAUUGACAACAUAGACUAUAUUGAUUACAUUAAUAGGGACACAUUGAAUCGAUCUUUAAAAAGAUGACGGAGAUUUGUGGGUAUGCCUAAGUGUGGAAAAUCUGGUAAAUGAUGGGGAUUGAUUUCUACAGAUUUUGAAACAUGUGCAGUUAUAGAGUCGGAUUCUGAAAAUGAGAGUUAUAGAGUUGAAUAAGAAGGCAGUGAGACAUGGACUUGGUUCUUGACUUAUUUGGCUGAUGAUUUUAAAUAUGCAUGACAAUGAGGCUUGUUGGACUUUUAUAUACGACAAAAAAGUAAUCUUCGGCAUUAAAGUAGACAACUGACUUACCUAGAUGAGUCCCAUGUUGAAUAUCAAUAGUAGAAGAAGCUGUUGUAGCUGCCAGAGUUGUUUGGACAGUAGCAGCAAAUGUGGGCUUCGAUUUGUCAUUUUGAUUGUAGUCCUCUUUGGGGAUAUUAUUGUUAUUGGUAUCAGUAGGAGGGGGUUCAGAUUUUUGCUGGCUGUUCUGUUUUGCGGGACUGAUGUCUUUAAAAUUUUUCUCUUAUGUAUACAAUUAGUUGAGAUUAGUUAUAUGAAUCCUCGAGAUCCAUUUAUCUUUGGUUAUAUCAAUCCUCAAUGUAGAAACAUUUUUUUAUACUAAAGUGGCUGGGGAUUUCAAUGUGCUUGAUGUGGAACAAGGCUGCUAGUUGCGAGCUGCUAUGUAAUUUGUGCAGAAAACAAGAGACACCUACUAUAUAAAGGGGCAGAGAGAUACGUUCUUUUUCAUGCACGCAAGCUUCAUAGAUAGUAAUUUUUUUUUUGGAUGAACAAGUAUGCAUCUUCUGUAACUCUGAAGCCACUGCUGUGGUUUGAAACUGCAAAAGGUUAAGUUAAGGCAAUCUGUCUGACAGAGCCCUUUUAAGUUGUACAUAUUGCACUUGGUAAUAAAAUUCUUUAUCUACCCCCAAAAAAGAGUUCCAAAUAUCAAUAAUUAGAUCUGGAGCAUUUUCAUAAUAGCUAAGUUUACUGGAACAACUAAUAAUAAUCUUUCAUCCUGAAAAAGCAGGGGAACCAUCCACAAGGUUUCCUUUAACAUUCUUUGUGUACAAGUCGGAAUCAAGUUAUAUGAAUCCUCAUUAUACAAGAUAGAACUACAAGUCUGAUACUAAAUACAACAGACACGAUGGAGAAAGAAAACAAAUCAUGACAAGGCUUCAUCAUUUCGAUCCAUGCACUCAACAGAAAUUACGGAAUUAGCUUCCACUUCUUCAAAUUCAAUAGUCCAAAACAAGUUUAGGUUGCAUCUCCCAAUUUUUUUUGUAAAAACAGUGUAUAUCACUACAAAAAUUAGUAUAAGAAAUAUCAGCAACAUAGAUGCGAGUGAAUCAUCAUGUCACGACCCGAUCCUACACUCUGGACGUGGCCGGCACUCGAGAACCAUUGUUGGUCCCCAAGAGAACCCUUGGCAUGUCUAACUAUAGACAUGAGACUCAAUAUGAUAUGCAGAAGCCUUAAAUAAAUGAGCAUUUAAAUCAUUUGAUUUAUAGUUUUGAAACACUUCUUGGAAUACAUAGCAGGAAUAAGUUCCAAUAAAAUCAUCGGGAGAAAAACAUUAAAACAUCUGACUCUGCCUAUCUAUGAAGCCUCUAUUGUUAAGGAAGGAUGUUGGGACAAGACCCAGGACACCUCAAUACUACUAAACAGAAUAUAAAAGUGGAGUCCUUCGGAAGCAAGAAGGUCUCACCAAAAGCUAUCAAGAAGUGUGAAGUGAUCUCAAUGGAGCGCCUGUUGAUGAUCCCAAACACCAGUAUCUGCAUCAUAAAAAAAGAUGCAGGUCGAAUGACAUCAGUACAUUGAAUGUACGAGUAUGUAAUAUGACUGAAUAAACAAAUAAUUGAACCGAAGGACUGAAAGCAACUCAACUGAAUCAAUACAUGAACGUGAAAUGAAAACCAUUUAAGCUUUACAAUAAGAUAUGGUUUAAAAGCAAUAUGAAAAUAGUAUACUUUACUUUGUGGGAGAUUUCUCUAACCGACAACCAUCACUAUGAGCCUAGCAAUGAUACAACGUUUCACCCAUGUUGCAAGGGCCAUCCUAUACUUUGCCGGGGUAUAGGAUGAUACUGUAACUAUGGAACCAUCUAAUAGUCUUUUUCAGAGGCAGUGAGGAGUCGCAUGAAGAAUCAGUACUAUCCUAUCCUACGCUGGCUACAUCAUUUAUUGAGACUUUUGAGUUAUAAAAGAAUCUUAGCCAAUCCGGUGCUCGAUACUACCAAAAUAAUCAAUAUCAAUUAUGCUCAAUCAACUUUACAAAGAAAGGGACUAUUACUUUACUUUACUUUUCACUUUGCUCAAGCACCUUUUACAAAGAAAAGGACUAUUACUUUACUGAAGUACUUUUCAAAAACAUCAUACUCUUUUUUCUCAACGGUCAAAUAGUACAUAUGAGACCAUUUGAUUCUUUCUUAAAAGACUUUGUUCAAAACUUGCAUUUAAAACGUAUACUUAUGGACUUAUCUUUCAAGUCCAAGAUCGAUAUAUAAAAAAUGAAAACUCUUAUACUUUUCUAAAAAUAGUACUCUCUUUCAAUAUAAAAAUGAUACAUUCGGAGCCCUUUAAGUUCCCUUAAUUCAUUUUUCAAAAUAAUGCUUAAUUUUUCUCUUAAACUCACUUUAGUUUGAAUGUGCACUAAGACAAGUGAUUAGGUUAUGCAAGAACUUUCAAAGGUAAAUGGAGCCUAUAGGAGCUAAUACAAAGAAGGGAAACGUGGUCACAACUUAGAGGAGCAUGCGUCGGAUGAAAUAAGGAAAAGAAUCGGCCCGGCUACCCUUGGCGCACUGCUGGCACAUGGUGCCAGAUCCUGAACUUCAGAAGUCAUGCCUGGGUGCACUGCUUGCGCAGGGCGUCUGCGCCUUCUUGGUGUGCCGCCCCAAGCUCCUCCCUAAUAUCCCUGAUGAACUCAAGUUAAAUUAGGACACCAAAUUAGUUUGGAUUUGGGAAAUUUUCCCCAAUCUCUACUUAUCUUACAACCUAAAAUUAAUAUAUGAGAAACUUUCAUACAAUUUAUUUUGAAAACAUAACCUUACUAAAUCAAUAGGGUUCAUCUGAUACUAAGCAUUAACAACAUUAUAAGAUUCACAUGUAAAAAUAGGAAUCAAAACCUCAAUUGUUAAAGAACUGAAUUCAAUAUCAAGAACUAUGAAUGAAUCCUUUAGAUGUGACAAUUUCUGACCGAAUUGAGAUGUAGGGCGUGAGGAAGAACUAGUCCACCACUAUGAAUAGCCUUACAUACCUGGAAAGAACAAAGGUCCUUGGUGAAAUCGAUGGAAACUUGAUGAACGCUUGAACCCUAGCCUUUUCUCCUUUUGUAACAUUGCUCUAAUUCUUCUAAGUGUUAAAGAACGUGAAAAAAUGUUUUAACGCUGUUUAGACCCAUAAUUAGGUGGAAAAAACGUGGCUUAGGCUUAGAAGGGAUAGGAAAAGACCAAACUACCCCUCUAAUAACGGUUGAGGUGCCUUACAAAAAGAGGCUUUCACUAAAACGAGUAUAUCUUUUUACUCCAAACUGGAAAUGAAGCAAACUUGAUGACGUUGGAAAGAACUUUUAUUUGGUAGGUCAUGGGUCACCUAAAUCUUUUAUGUAUUGAAAGAUAUGAUUGUUUGAAGUUGACCUAAGUAGAAUCUUAGGUCAAAACUUAAUCAGUAAACAAGCUUUCAACUUAACUUUGUGGUAGGGGAUUCUAGUGACCUUAAUUAAUACCCAAAACCAUCCCAUACUAAAGGAUUGAAGUUAACACCUAAGAAUUUCUCGAUGGUGAAUUGUUUCGUACUAUAUACAUGUACACUGCCAUUCUUCAAAAUCCAUACAUUAGAAGUAGUAGCCCCUUGAAAUUAGAGAAAGGUAACUUCCCUCAACUCCCAAUUUGAAAUUAGAAUUAUCUUAUCAACAAAUGGGAAGCUUCAAGAUAACCCAUGUCCCGUCUGAUACAUCAAAAGAAAUGAUCUUGCGCACAUUGAAAUCCUAUAUAGGUGUAGGUCAGGUGUUUUUUAUACUUUAUGACACACCCGAGCCUACACCCUGGACGUGAUCGACGCUUAAGAGCCAUUACUGGUCCCUAAGUGAACCCUUAGCCUAGCUGACUACUUAGUGAAAGACUUACUCAAGCAUUUAAAGGCUUUAAAUAGAAGUAAAUCCUUAAAAUUGUAAUAUUUUCAAUUCAUAUUGUCUGAAAAAAAUACUCAAUAUAACAAUAAUAUUUUGCAAAACAUCUCAAAGAAAAAGAAAGUAUUGAGAGACUCCUCAACUCUAUUAAUCUAUGAAUCCUCAAUAAUCUAAGACAGAUAUCAGAACAAGACCCACGAUAUCUCAAGACAACUAACUAGAAAAUAAAUGUGAAGUCCUCUAGAAUGCAAGGAGGCUUACCCAAGCUAUCUGAAGCGCAAAGUGAUCUUAAUAAAGUGUCUAUUGAUGAUCCAAAACACUUGAAUCUGCAUCAUAAAAAGAUGCAGGUCGUAUGACAUCAGUAUAUUGAAUGUACAAGUAUGUAAUAAAGCUGAAUGAAUAAAUAACUGAACUGAUAAGGCUGGGAUAAUACUCACCUCAACUCAACUCAAUACAACGCAUUAUCAAGAGAUGGAGUAUUUAAAGCUUCAUAAUUAAAAGAUGCUAACUCAAGGAUGCAUAUGAAAGUACAUUAAAUUACUCUUUAACUCUUAUUUGAGAGAUUCUCUAACCGACAACCAUCAUUAUGAGAUACACGAUGAUAAAACGUCUCGCUCACACUGCCUGAACCGUCUUAUACCUUGCUAGGGUAUAGAACACCUCAACUAAGUGGAUCUACUAAAGCUCUGCUCGAAAGCAGUAAAGAGUCGUCUAAAAAGUAAAAUCCUUUACCCAUGUUAGCUACUUGGUUUAUGAGAAAUGUGAGUUUUCUGAACUCAUCCCCAUAUCGGUGCUCAAUACUACUCCCAAUAAAUAUAUACUCAUGCUCAAAUGUAUAAAACAAACUCUUUCUCAAUUUGAGGUAACUGCUCAAAAUAUCCUUGUAAAAGAGGUGCUGCUCUGAAAUAUCUCUGAACUCAUUAACUUGUUUAGAAAUCAAAAUUUCUCAUUUCUCAAUGUAAAAAGGGACACAUUUUGGAAUUCUUAGUUCCCUUAUACUCUUACUCAAAUCAUUCUUUAAACUCUACUUAAAUCUCAUCUUUACUUUCUCAAAAAUCAAUUUAAGACAGAAUAGUUUGGUUAAAAGGUUUCUCAAUAAAAACUCAGUAAUAACUUAAGAAUCUUAAUGAAAGAUAUAAUAAAUCAAAAAUUAAGAAUAAAAUUCGGAACUCAAAAACGAAACUCAUCUCAAGAAUUAUAAAGACUAAGGGGUCGUUUGGUAGAGUGUAUAAGAACAAUGCAAAAUAAGGUGUAUUAGUAAUGCUUGCAUUAGUAGUGCUUGCAUUUAUAGAGUGUAUAAGAACAAUGCAAAAUAGAGUGUAUUAGUAAUGCAUGCAUUAGUAGUGCUUGCAUUAGUUAUGCCUGCAUUAUUUCUUAUACACUGUUUGGUUUGGUGUAUUAGAAAUAACAAAUCUUACAUAAUUUCUAUUAAAAAAAUGUAUGUUAACAAAAAUACCCUUCACACUUUAUUUCUUUGUACACUUCCUUUGCAACAAGGUUCUUUGCUAAAACAUCAAAAAAGAUUUCUUUGCUAAAACAUUAUUUACUCCUAUUCUCUUAUUUUUUUCAAAUAUAAAAUUAAAUAGUUGUUACAAUAUUGAAAUAAGGUUUUCUACUAUAUUAGAAGAGUCAGUCCCUAUUGGUAUCAACAUGUGUUUUUUUUUGUCAAAUUUCAAUUUAGAAAGGAUACUGUCGUCAUUUCCAUUAACUAUUCAAUUCUCAAUAUUGUGCCAUCUGUUUUUGAUUGCCACCACAUUAUAACAGGUGGCUUUCAUGCAUUUCCUUUUCCAUUCCUCUUUUCUUCUUUUUGUAUUUUAAUCAAUUCCUAUCUGAAAAAAUUAUUGUUGUAAUAAGCAAAAGGGAAAAGAAGGAAAAGAGAGUCUUGUAAAUUAGCUUGCAGUUGAAUUUUUUUCAUGUCUAUAAUUUUCUUUGAAGAAUUAUCUACUAUGAAUUGUUUCAAGAAUUUGCAAUGUUGUUAUAAAAUAUUGUGUCUAAAAUUUGUUAUUUGAAUUGUAAGUUCACUUUAUCUGCAGUUUAGGAAGUAUGGAAUUAAGGGGGACAUUCUUUUUUUUUUACAAGGGUAGGAAGUUGUAACAAAAAUCUAAUAUUUAAGUUUCUUAUUCUUCCGCAUUCAGCUUAUACAAUCCUCUGUUAUUGGAGUUCUGUUUUAGUUAUUGAAGAAUCAACUUGCAACUUCAAAUUGUUUCAAUUGAUAUAUGGUCUUUUGAUUCUAGAACAUUGUUUCAAGGGAAAUGCAAAUUGAAGUGGUAGAAGUGAUUAUUUGUUCAUUUAAUUGAGCAGAGAUCAAUGUAAACAUAAAUAUGCAAUCAUGACGUUUUAGCCUUCCAAUGGAUCACUCUCUUAUCACUGAUCAAUUCUAGAUUAUUCCAUCCCCAUGCAAUAUUGAAUUCACUUCUUCUAUCACACACAUUCAUCAACUCAUAUAUAAAUUAACAAUAAAAAAUAGAGACCAGACAGAGAAAUACAAGACAGAUUAAACAACUGUCAUAACAGCUAUCUAAUUGCAUUUCAGAAUCUCAAAAUUAAAUGGCUACACGAGAAUUUGAAGAGCUGUAAUGACAACUAUAUUGAAACGACCCCAAAAAUGCCCGAAAAUGUGCUUUGGAAACACCUAGAAUUGUAAUUUCCAUAUAUCUCAAAAUCCGUGCAUGAUUUUGGAAAUUCGACUUCAUAUUCUUAUUCAGGGGAUCAAAUUGAGUGGGAAAUGGGACUAACCCGAAUUUUAGAGCAACCGUAUCAAAAUUCGAAAAUCGCAAAAAAUGCGAUUUGGAGGGUCAACUUUAAAGAGCCAUAUCUCUUAAAACACAAGGAACUGGAAGGGCCACUACCUAUUAAAUUAAAUCCCUUUGAGUUAGCUUUCCAAUGCACUUGGUUUCACCUCAUUCCGAGUUAGGAUGANNNNNNNNNNNNNNNNNNNNNNNNNNNNNNNNNNNNNNNNNNNNNNNNNNNNNNNNNNNNNNNNNNNNNNNNNNNNNNNNNNNNNNNNNNNNNNNNNNNNNNNNNNNNNNNNNNNNNNNNNNNNNNNNNNNNNNNNNNNNNNNNNNNNNNNNNNNNNNNNNNNNNNNNNNNNNNNNNNNNNNNNNNNNNNNNNNNNNNNNNNNNNNNNNNNNNNNNNNNNNNNNNNNNNNNNNNNNNNNNNNNNNNNNNNNNNNNNNNNNNNNNNNNNNNNNNNNNNNNNNNNNNNNNNNNNNNNNNNNNNNNNNNNNNNNNNNNNNNNNNNNNNNNNNNNNNNNNNNNNNNNNNNNNNNNNNNNNNNNNNNNNNNNNNNNNNNNNNNNNNNNNNNNNNNNNNNNNNNNNNNNNNNNNNNNNNNNNNNNNNNNNNNNNNNNNNNNNNNNNNNNNNNNNNNNNNNNNNNNNNNNNNNNNNNNNNNNNNNNNNNNNNNNNNNNNNNNNNNNNNNNNNNNNNNNNNNNNNNNNNNNNNNNNNNNNNNNNNNNNNNNNNNNNNNNNNNNNNNNNNNNNNNNNNNNNNNNNNNNNNNNNNNNNNNNNNNNNNNNNNNNNNNNNNNNNNNNNNNNNNNNNNNNNNNNNNNNNNNNNNNNNNNNNNNNNNNNNNNNNNNNNNNNNNNNNNNNNNNNNNNNNNNNNNNNNNNNNNNNNNNNNNNNNNNNNNNNNNNNNNNNNNNNNNNNNNNNNNNNNNNNNNNNNNNNNNNNNNNNNNNNNNNNNNNNNNNNNNNNNNNNNNNNNNNNNNNNNNNNNNNNNNNNNNNNNNNNNNNNNNNNNNNNNNNNNNNNNNNNNNNNNNNNNNNNNNNNNNNNNNNNNNNNNNNNNNNNNNNNNNNNNNNNNNNNNNNNNNNNNNNNNNNNNNNNNNNNNNNNNNNNNNNNNNNNNNNNNNNNNNNNNNNNNNNNNNNNNNNNNNNNNNNNNNNNUACUUCAAAGUUUAUCAUGGACAACCAUCCACAUCAUUGUCUGACGAUCAUGUUCACCCAUACGUAAAAAUAAUUCCAUCUUUUUGUCGUCUUUACAGAGAAUCAUUGCAGCUUUUAUACGUUGCUCUGUGGUGUACAACUCAAAUACAGGGGAUUCAAGGAUAGAAUAAACUUGACCACGAACAUCAGAUCGAUCACGAUCCCCCAUCUUUUCAAUCAAGGAACCAAUUCUUUUGUCUUGACUUUCAGUAAAGUUUUUCAUAACUUCCAUCAUACCCUUAAGAAAUGUCUCACUAUCAUCCUCUACUAUUUUUUUCCUUUUCUUGCUUUUCUCUUUCUCAUUAACAUUAGAAGAUGAUCUUUUAGAAUACUCACCUUGUUUAUGACUUUUUUGGGAUCCAGCAUGUUCAUUUUCAGAACCAGUAACAUUUUUCUCCUUCAUUAAAUACGCUAGGUCCAGUGACAUUUUCAGCUCCAGUAAAUGAACUAUGUUCGGUGAAACCUUUAGCUGUAGCAAAUUCAUCUUGUCCAGUGACAUUUUCAGCUUCGUACCAAUUUUAGAGCUAUGGUAAGCAUUUUCUUCUUCUUCUUCAUCAUCAUCAAGAUCAACAUCAAUAAGAAAUCCCAAACUCAUGUCAUUAGAAUGUUGUGGAGCUUGACUCUUUUGAAUUUCUUCAGUAGCAUCUAGCGGCCCUUCAACAAACUCUCCUGUUGCUCUAUCCUUACCAAAGAUUUCUUCCCAAUCCUUAAACAGUGGCCAUUUCUUAGUAUUCAUUUUCUUGGCUUGUGGAUCAAUCUAGAAAAUUAAAAAAUAAAAUAGAACAAUAUGAUAUUAAUUAAUUGUAAAAGGAUCUAAAGAGAGGCUAGAUGCUACUGUAUAUGUGAUGAUAACAAUUUACUUGAUCACUAGUUUAAAGGCACAUCAACUAUGAAUAAUUAAAGUAACUAACAAGGAAAGUACCAUAUGAAAUAACAAAAACAUAUUAAUUACCUUUAUAAAGUCAAUCCAAUGUUUUGGAUCGUCAACUAUUAUAGUUCCAUCACUAUAUUGAAAUCCCAAACCACUUCGAGUCUUCAACAAAGCUAUACUUCCAUAGCAUCUUUUCCAAUAUCUCAUUUUAUUUUUGAUGUGUGGUUCACUUUUCAAUCCACUUCUAGGAUGAUAUUUGUGUAUAUAACGCUCUAACUCCAUCAAGUGCCCUGGUCUAAAGGUUCCAUUAUCACCUCUCCAACCAUUAGCACACAACUCUUUAAGCCCGUCUAAAAGAGUUUCCAACCAUCUAAAAGAGUUUGUUCUUCUUCUGGAAUCCAUGUCUUUCGUGUUGAAGGUGUUGUGUUGCUUGGUAUUUUUGAUUUCUUAUUUGAUGAUGUUUGACUAUUCAUUUCGCCUAUAAGAACUUGUGCGACAGAUUAUUAAAAAAAUCAGAAAGAACCAAAUAUCAUAAGAUUCACUUUAAACUAAAGCAUACAACAAAAGAGAUGUGAAAAGUACAUAAGGGUGUGCAAUUAAGGUCACAAAAAAUCAGAAGUUUCUGGCAGUUAAACUAUUUAUACUAGGCCAGUUCUAAAGAGCAAAUGAAGUCCAAAAAGGUUCUAUAGCUAACAAGUAGCAACAUAGUUCAAAAUGUAGCAAUAUGUCAAUUGUUAAAUCUUGCAUUCCACAUUGAUUAAGCCAACUCAUCCCUCCAAGUGGUCCACUCCUCCGACGAUUCAAUAACAUCAAUAUUCUCGUGUUGAUACUCCAUUUGUUCUUCUAUAUCAAUGUCUAAGGGAUCCACUUCCAUCUCUCUACGAAUGAAAUUAUGAAUCAAGCAGCAAGCACUAAUGAUCCUGUUAUGAACCUUAACCGAGUACCAUGAAGAACUUCUAAGAAUUCCCCAACGUCCUUUCAACAAACCAAAUGCCCUUUCAAUUACAUUACGAGCUCUAGCAUGCCUCAUGUUGAAAAGCUCUUCUUUACAUCGAGGCGAUGGAUUAUCGCCGCGCCAAUCCUUUAACCAAUAUCUAUAACCUCGAUAAGGUGAAAGAAAUCCUUUUCCAUUCGUAUAUCCUCCAUCACACAAAUAAUAGUUACCUAUAAUAUAAACAUAUAAUUUAGUUACUAGUACCAUUCUUUCUAUGAUGUAACUUGAAAGCAUAUAUAAGGCCUACCCUCAUGAAUUUUCAAACCAUUCCUUCGUACUAUAGCAUCUCGUAAUACACGACCAUCGGCAGCUGAACCUUCCCAUCCAGGUAACACAUAAGUAAAAUUGAGAUUUCUAUCACAAACUCCCAAAACAUUAGUUGCUAUCUCUCCUUUUCUUGUUCUAUAUCUUGGUUUGUGUUGGAUUGGAACUCUAAUGGGAAUGUAAGUACCAUCUAGUGCACCUAAACAACCCUUUAAGAUAAAUUAUAGUGUUAUCUCAAAAUAUAUAAUAUAUUUCAUAAACUGUUAAAACUGCAUAUUUUGUAUAUUAGUUAAAAGAUGCUAAACGACAAUUUCACCUAUCUCAAACCAUUUCCAUCGAUCUUCAAUCCCAUCCUCAAGUACCGGUUUAGGAUUAACAAGUAGCAAUGGAGCUAGUUUGAGAAUAGCACUCAAGCAUUCAUUGAAAGCUUGACUUACGCUCCAUCCCGAUCUAAUAUAAUCAAACCUUGAUGGAUCUAUUUUUCUCAUGAUGAGCCAAAGAUAUUUUAAAAAACAUUGCUAAUUUUCGCUGCUUGACAUACUUUUACUAUUCAGUCAGACCUCCAAUAUCCUUAGUUAAGAGAACUAAAGUGUGAAAGGCAUUUCUAUCCAUUCUUAACUUAUCGAUACAUACACUACCAUUAUCAUUUAUGAUAUAGUGUAAGUGAGAAAAUGAUUUUCGGAACUCGAACACUCAUACGAUACCUAACUUCACGUCUGUUUUGACAUCGUCUUCUUAGAGAAUGACCAUAACUAGCCAUGAAAAGACAAAUAAGGAGAACAAGAACUUGUUGAAACAAUAUCUCCACAAGAAUAAUAUAUUCAAUACCUGAUAAUGGUUGAAGAUCCAUAAUAACACCUAUAUUUGCGAUAAAAAUAAGAAUGAACACAUAUAAAGCUUUUAAAUAAGUAGCUAUGUGCAUAAAUUUAUAAUUUUCGACCAUAUAAAGAGUGAAAUAGAUGAACUCAAAGCAUAUUAAAAUACAAGCUAAACCUAAAUAUCAUCAUCAGAUCUAUUAACUUUAGACGAUUGACUUUUUCACAACUAUUUGCUAACUUAAAAUUAACGAAACACUUUGAUUGCAUUCCAAAAUGGUUGGCAAACUCUAAAUCGUUGAUUUGGAUAGAGAAAGAAUUAUACCCAAAUUGUGAAAUAGAGGUAGAAAAAUCAAAUAAUAAUGAAACAUAAGAGUACUAACCUUUUGGAGAUGAGCAAAUAAUGUUUGAUUGAGCAGAAGGAAGAAGAAACUCAACCUUGACUUUCCAUUAACAAAGUACAGAGUAGAUGAAAAGUUUCUAAAACAAGUACAAUGGAAAAUGUUUUUUUAAAAGGCAUUGAGGGUAGUUUUGUAAUUAUAUAAUAUAAUGCCAGUGUUAAAGGGCUAUGUAUUACUAAUACCUAGAAUUUCUUGGUAUUAGUAAUUACACAACACAAUAUAGUGUAUAACUAAUGCUUGCAUUAGUUAUACAUGACAUAAAAGGUGUACCAAACAAGGUAUUACUAAUACACACACCUAAUACAUGCAUUAUUUUUCCUAAUACACUCUACCAAACUAAGGAUGUAACCCUAGAUUGUUAUUUUACUGAUAGAAAGUAGAUGUAGGGCGUGAGGACGAACUCAGUCUAUCAGUAUGAUAACCUUACAUACUUGGAAGAACAAAGUUCAUAGCGAAAUCAACGAAGCUCGAAGAACACUUGAAACCCUAACUUUUCUCCUCUUGGAACAUUGCUCUAAAGACUUGAAGUGUUAAUGAACGUAAAAUAACUGAUUAACACUUUAUAACCCUUAAUUAGGUGUAAAAACGUCAUGGUUUAGUCUUAGAAGGGUUGGGAAAGACUAGACUACCACUCUUAAAAACUGACAAAAACUUCUACAGGUCCAUCUAUGGUUCGUGAUUUGUUUUAUGGAUAGUAGAUCCCAUUCGUGGAAUAUAUUAAAUUUUACGACUCAUAAUCUCAUUCAAGGGGUCCAAUCUAUGGCCCUUAGAAGUUUCUACGGACCGUAGAUCUAAUCCGUAGAACUUAUACAAUUUUCAGGCUCAAAAGUCCAUUAUAAGGUCCAAACUAUGACCCGUAGAAGUUCCUACGGCUCAUAGAAUGGAUCCGUAGGAGUUGGACCCUAAAAAUCAGAUUCUUUGAAGUUUUUGACGAGUUGACAGUAUGGGUCGCCGAAAUUUCUACGGCUCGUAGAAACAAGUCGUAGGAGUUGACCUCAGGCAACUUUGAUGUUAUAGUCUUUGGCAAAACAAGAGUAACCUUUUACUUCAAACUCAAUAUGAGGCAAAUUUGGUGGUGGUGAAAAGAGGACUUGAGGACCUUUAAUUUAGUAGGGCAUAGGCCACAUAAUUCGUUAUGUUGUGAGAGAUAUGAUCGUUUGAAGUGGACCUAAGUAGAAUUUUAUGUCAAAAUCUAAUCGGUAAUGAAGCUUUCAACUCGAUUUUGUGAUAGGGAAUUCUCGUGACCUUAAUUCAUAUUCUAAUCCAUUCCCACACUAAAGAAUUGGCAUUAACACCUAAGAAUAACUUAAGAAUCACCCAAUACGAACUUAAAUGCAAAUGAAGAAUGGCUCAGGCAUUAGGUUAGAAAUUUUUGGGGUGUUACAAUAUCUCCCGCUUGGAAUCAUUCGUCCUUGAAGGAUAGAUGAAUUGAGCAUGGAAAGGGUAGGGAAAUGUUUUACAACCUAAUUUAAUGAAAAAUCCACAUAAAACUCAUGAACUCAAAACAUUGAAGGAGGGACUGAAUUGAAUGUGUACUUUAGAAAGAGUUAAUACCUUGGACUAGAACUAAAUCGAAGGAAAAAAGAAGAGGGUAUCUAGUCUUCAUAUCCUCCUUAACUUCCCAAGUUGCCUCCUCAACAAACUGAUUUCUCCAUAAGACAUUGACUGAUGCAACCUUUUUGGUUCACAACUUGCAAACCUAACGAUCAAGAAUCUUAACGGGAAUCUCCUCAUAAGAUAGGUUGUCAUUAAUACCAAUAUUCUAGGUAGGAACAAUAAAUGAAGGAUCGCCCAAACACUUCUUUAGCAUAGAGAUGUGUAAUACUGGAUGGACUACUGCUAACUCUGAUGGUAGCUCCAACUCAUAAGCUACAUUACCAACUCUCUUGGAUAUUCUGUAAGGAUCAAUGUAUCAUAGAUUGAGCUUUCCUUUCUUACCAAAUCUCAUAACAACUUUCAUAGGUGAGACCUUCAGAUAUACCCAAUCAUCAACCUCAAACUCCAUAUAUCUUCAUCUAAUUUCUGUAUAGGAUUUCUAACGACUCUGUGCUGUUCUCAACCUCUCUUAAAUUAUUUUCACAUUCUCUAUGGAUUGAUAAACUACGUCUUGUCCUACCAACUCAGCUCCACCAACCACAAACCAACCAAUAGGAGAUCUACACCUUCGCCUAUAAAGAUCUUCAUAAGAGCCAUCUGGAUACUGGAGUGAUAACUAUUAUUGUAAGCAAACUCUAUGAGAGACAAGUGAUCAUCCCAAUUACCUUUGAAAUUCAUGACACAUGCUCUCAACAUAUCCUCUAGGGUCUGAAUUAUGUCUUCUGCUUGGCCAUCCGUCUGAGGUUGAAAAGCAGUACUAAGGUUUACCUUCGAACUCAAACAUUUCUAAAAUGACUUCCAAAAUUGAGCGAUGAAUUGCACACCCUUAUCCUAAAUGAUGGACAAAGGGACACCAUGAAUUCAAAAUAUCUCACGGGUGUAAAAACUCACAUAAUCUUAUGUUGAAUUGGUAUAUUCACCAAUAAGAAAUGGGUUGAUUUAGUCAUUUGAUCUAUAAUCACCCAAAUCGAAUUAUGUUGCCUGCGAGAUCGGGGCAAGCCAGAUUUGAAGUCUAUAUUAAUCAUAUCUUAUUUCCAUUCUGGAAGAGCUAUGUUCUGAGUCACACCCCAUGGCCUUUGGUGUUCCACCUUGACUUGCUGGCAAUUUGGGCACUUCACAACAAAAUCUGCAAUAAACCUCUUCAUACUAUUCCACUAAUAGACUUCUCUCAUGUCAUGACACAUCUAUGUGGAACCCGGACGGAUCAAAUAUCUGGAACUUUGAAUUUCUUUCAUGAUCCUUUCUUGGAGCUCAUCCACCUUUGGAACACACAAUUUACCUUGAUAUCUCAACACAACAUCUCUGUCUUGUUCAAAAGCAAUCACCUUCUUCUUAUGAGCAUUUGCAUUUAAUUCAAGUAAGAUGGGGUCUUUGUCUUGCUUCUUCUAAUUCACUUCAGGAACUAAUGACGAUUCAACCUCAUUAAUCACAACAAAUCCACCUUCACUGGAAUCUAACAAACAGACUCCCAAAUGUGCAAGUCUGUGAACUUCCUUAGCCAAUUUUUUCUUGCCUUCCUCGACAUGAGCAGUACUCACCAUGGACAACCUACUCAUAGCAUCAACAACAACAUUAGCCUUACCUAUGUGAUAGAGGAUACUCAUGUCAUAAUCCUUGAACAACUCUAACCACCUCCUUUACCUGAGAUUAAGUUCCUUCUGACUAAAAACAUACUGGAGAUUCUUGUGCUCGCUGAAAAUAUCUACAUGAAUGUAACACCCCAGAAAUUCUAUGACUUAAGAUAGAGCCUCACCUUAUGAAUAAUGACUUAAAAAUAGUUAAAAUGAUGUUUCUAAACCUAAAUUAAUGCAAUUGACUCGGUUUGGAAGAGAAAUAGUCUAAAUGUCAAGAAACGACCACGACGUCCGGAAACUAGAGAAGAAUGUGUUCUAGUGUGUCCUUAGGUUUUGGGCAGGUUUGGGAGUGUCGUAUGAUGGUAUAAUAUUGUAAAAAAAUUUAAAUUAGGUAAAUAUAUAUUUAUAGGGUCAAAACGUUCGAAUACGACGCCCCCAAGAAGGACCCCAACCUUGGCGAAGCAAGCUGCCAAGGCAGCUAGCAGAUUGCACUUGGAGGGAAUAGCUCCGCGUUGCGGACUAGCUCCCCCAAGGAGAAAAAAGUUAGUUCACAACGUGGUCGUGUCGCGGAUUCUAUUGUCUCAAAAUUGAAUUCCAAUUAUCUUCAGGGAACAGCUCCGCGUUGCGGACUUGUUCCGUGACGAAAAUGCAGAAAUUCAGAAAUCGAUUUUUAGUUCAUUAAAGAGUCCAACUAAGUGAGGGGUAUUUAGGGUACUUUAGGGGACGUGUAUUUAAUGAUUUUUAAGUCAAUUUAACUCACUUUUAUCACUCAAAUACAAAACUCGAAAGAUCAAACCUAAAGUUCCUCCUUCUCUCUACUCUCUCUCUUCCCAAUAACUCCAUUGAAGAAGAUUGGAGCUUCAAGAAGAAGACCAACUCUACCAAGGUUUCAACUUAGAUUUUCGUGGUUAAUUCGUCAAUAAGGUAUGGUUUCUUAUCACUCUUGGGAUUCCUUUCCCCAAGAGUCCCCCUUCAAGAUGAAUUUCAAAAUCUCCAAUUUCUAGGUUUCAAUCCAAAAACGUGGGUCUUCUUUCUAAAGUGAAAUUGAUGUUAUAAACUGACUUUGAUUGAUGUUAUAUGAACAAUUAUGGAUGAAUUUAUAUUAUAUUGGCGGUUUCUUGAAGAAUUCCCCAUGAGAUCCAUGUUUCUCCUUCUUUUCCUAAUUCUAACCCUAGUUUGUGUUGGAUAUUGAUUGAAGGCUAUGAAUUGAAUGUGAUGUUAUGUAAUUCAUGCUUGUAUGAUGAUUCUACCCUAGGUUAUGUAUAAUUUCUAUGAAAUUUGGGUUGAGUCUUUGAAUGAAGCCUUGAAGACUAUGAAGGGAAUAUGUCAAUUGCUUAUAUUGAUGUGGAUUAUGUUAUUACUUCAUGAAUUACCUUGUAUUAUAUAUUGGUCAUGAAUUUCUUGGUAAUUGAAGUAUGGAUGUCCCACGAAGGGCAAGAAGGUAUGAAGGUUGGUUCUUCUUUGAACUCAAGUAUGAAAGGUGAAUUACUUAGAUUGUAAUAAUGUUAUACCUAAUGUGUUGUUGUGGUGUUGAUGACCUAGUUUCCUCAUCCUUAACCCUCUACACUUGAAUUAGCUAUGAAGUAUGUAUGUAUGUUAUGGUAUGAUUGUUAUAUGAUUGAAAGGUAGUUCUCAUGAUUAUAGUGUANNNNNNNNNNNNNNNNNNNNNNNNNNNNNNNNNNNNNNNNNNNNNNNNNNNNNNNNNNNNNNNNNNNNNNNNNNNNNNNNNNNNNNNNNNNNNNNNNNNNNNNNNNNNNNNNNNNNNNNNNNNNNNNNNNNNNNNNNNNNNNNNNNNNNNNNNNNNNNNNNNNNNNNNNNNNNNNNNNNNNNNNNNNNNNNNNNNNNNNNNNNNNNNNNNNNNNNNNNNNNNNNNNNNNNNNNNNNNNNNNNNNNNNNNNNNNNNNNNNNNNNNNNNNNNNNNNNNNNNNNNNNNNNNNNNNNNNNNNNNNNNNNNNNNNNNNNNNNNNNNNNNNNNNNNNNNNNNNNNNNNNNNNNNNNNNNNNNNNNNNNNNNNNNNNNNNNNNNNNNNNNNNNNNNNNNNNNNNNNNNNNNNNNNNNNNNNNNNNNNNNNNNNNNNNNNNNNNNNNNNNNNNNNNNNNNNNNNNNNNNNNNNNNNNNNNNNNNNNNNNNNNNNNNNNNNNNNNNNNNNNNNNNNNNNNNNNNNNNNNNNNNNNNNNNNNNNNNNNNNNNNNNNNNNNNNNNNNNNNNNNNNNNNNNNNNNNNNNNNNNNNNNNNNNNNNNNNNNNNNNNNNNNNNNNNNNNNNNNNNNNNNNNNNNNNNNNNNNNNNNNNNNNNNNNNNNNNNNNNNNNNNNNNNNNNNNNNNNNNNNNNNNNNNNNNNNNNNNNNNNNNNNNNNNNNNNNNNNNNNNNNNNNNNNNNNNNNNNNNNNNNNNNNNNNNNNNNNNNNNNNNNNNNNNNNNNNNNNNNNNNNNNNNNNNNNNNNNNNNNNNNNNNNNNNNNNNNNNNNNNNNNNNNNNNNNNNNNNNNNNNNNNNNNNNNNNNNNNNNNNNNNNNNNNNNNNNNNNNNNNNNNNNNNNNNNNNNNNNNNNNNNNNNNNNNNNNNNNNNNNNNNNNNNNNNNNNNNNNNNNNNNNNNNNNNNNNNNNNNNNNNNNNNNNNNNNNNNNNNNNNNNNNNNNNNNNNNNNNNNNNNNNNNNNNNNNNNNNNNNNNNNNNNNNNNNNNNNNNNNNNNNNNNNNNNNNNNNNNNNNNNNNNNNNNNNNNNNNNNNNNNNNNNNNNNNNNNNNNNNNNNNNNNNNNNNCCCAAGUUGGUGAGUCCUCAAGUCCGAGGACAAGACCCUAUGAUCUAGCUUCUAUGUUUAGUUCUUUGCUUAUGUUGAAAGACAUUGUUGUACUUUCCUAUUUCAAGAUUUCUUAUUGAUGUAAGGGCUAAGUCCCAUUUUUGAUACUUCUAUGUCUAGAUGGUACAUUCUGACGAAGUUAGAUUCUAUUUUUCAUAUGUGAAGUGAAGUGGAACUUCCAAAGUAAAAGUUUUAAAUUUUCCGUGAUUUUAUUCUAUGAUACAUGUUAUGACGAAUGCUAAGGGCUUGUAUAAGACCUCUUCGAGGUCGAAUACGCCGGUAACGACUAAGGGGUGCUCUCGGGUCGUUACAAUGAAUGCGAUAGAGAUAGUGACACCAUAUCUUGAGAGCAAAAACUAUUGCUGCCAACUUGAUAUUAGUAGUCGGGAAGUUCCUCUCGUGAAUCUUAAGCUGCCUGGAGGAAUAUUCUAUAACCUUACCAUUCUUCAUCAACAAUCAACCACGCCCCACUCUAGAUGCAACACAAUAGUUGACAAAAUCCUCUAUACCCUCUGGUAUGGUCAACACUGGAGCCGUAGUUAACCAGGUUUUCAAUUCAUGAAUUCUUUGCUCAUAAGCUUCAAACCAUUAAAACUAAGUGGUUUUCCGAGUCAACUUAGUCAAUAGAGAUAAAAUAAAUGAAAACCUCUCGACAAACCUUCGGUAGUAACCACCCUACCCCAAAAAACUCCCUAUAUCAGUUGGGGAUGUGGGUCUGAGCCAAUUCUAUGCUGCCUCAAUCUUCUGAGUGUCGACUUGAAUUUCUUUCCUAUACAUGAUGUGGCCUAAGAACUCCAUGGAUUCUAGCUAGAACUUACACUUAGAAAACUUGGCAUAUAACUUUCGAUUUUUGAUGAAUAUAAUAAUAAACAUAUCCAGAUACUACUUAUAUACUCUGUUCAUGUUGCCAGAGCGUUAGUCAAACCAAAUGACAUAACAAGGAACUCAUAAUAACCAUAAUAGGUCAUGAAAUAUGUCUUCGGGAUGUCACUUUCUCUCACUUUCAACUGAUUACAGCCAGAUCUGAGGUCUAUCUUAGAGAAGCAAGUAACACCCUGAAGUUGGUCAAAAAGGUCAUCAAUUCUAGGAAGGAGAUACUUAUUCUUUAUGGUGAACUUGUUCAACUAGUGGUAAUUGAUACAAAUCCUAGGGGAACCAUCUUUCUUUCUCACAAAUAAGACUUGAGCUCCCCAAGGUGAGACAUUUGGUCGGACAAAACCAUUAUCAAGAAGAUCUCUUUUAACUCAGCUGGAGCCAUUCUAUAUGGCAGAAUAGAAAUGUGUUGAGUAUCCCAAAGAAUAUCUAUUCGUAAGUCUAUUUCUUUCUCAGGAUGGACUCCGAGAAGUUCGUUUGGAAAGACCUUUGGAAACUCACUCAUAACGAGAACUGACUGAUAGACGGUGUCUCAACACUAGAGUCAUUAAAUCGGACUAAGUGAUACAUUCAUCCCUUAGAAACUAACUUUUUGGCCUUAAGGUAUGAAAUAAAAUGACCCUUAGACACUAUUGAACUACUCCUCCACUCUAAAAGUGGCUCGUUAAGAAACCAAAACUUGACUGCUUGAGUUCUACAAUUGACUGUAGCAUAAUAAACAUGAAGCUAGUCCAUACCUAGAAUAACAUUAGAGUCCACAAUGUCUAGCUCAACUAAGUCAUCCAUGGUGUCUUUGUGAUAGACAAAUAUGGUACAAUUACGAUAGACUCUUUUUGCUAGAACAGACUCACCAAUAGUUGUGGAAACACUAUAGGGCUCAAGAAGUUGUUUAGGGGAAUGCCAAACCUCAUGGCUACAUGAAAAGUCAUAAAAGACAAACUCACACCUGGAUCAAGUAAGGCAUAAACAUCAAUAGAAAACUCUUUAAGCAUACCAGUGAAAACAUUUGGCGAGUUCUCCUGAUCUUGGUGACUAGCCAUAGCAUACAGACGGAUUGAUGCUCCACCUGUCCCUAAAGUAGCUCCUCUCUAAGCAAUCUUAUCUGUUGGAGCAGCUGAAUACGAUUGGGCUCUAUUGUCCCUAUUACCCUGCCUGUUUUUAGGGCACUCUCUCAUAAAAUGACCUGUCUGACCACAGUUGAAGCAACCAUUGGAGCCAUCACGACAUUCUCUAGGGUGGUUUCUACCACACUAAGUGCAAGUGGGAGUCCAGUUACCCUGUCACUCCCCGAGCCUACACCCUGGGAGGGACUGGAACUCGAGAACCAUUGUUGUCCCCAAGCGAACCCUUGGUCUGACUUAACUUAUAACGGAAGACUUAAUAACAAGAAAACAGUCUCAAGAUAUAACUCAUGCAAUAACUUAAAGAGAUAUUAGACUAGCCAAAAAGGCAACUCUAGUCUUAACAUAUAAAACUAAAAACGAAAAGACUAAUGAACUAUAACUACUCAUCUAGGAAGCCUCUAAAACAAUGAGGGAUGUCGGGACAAGACCCCCGAUCAUCCUAACAACUGAAAUACUAAAACAAGAUAAUAAGGGAUCCUCCGGAAAGCAAGGACGCUCACCAACUGACUCUGAGUGCUUAACUGGAUCAACGAGGCACUGGAUGCUGAUCAUGGUUACCUGUAUCAGCAUCAUUAAAAGAUGCAGGCCAAAAGGCAUCAAUACAUUGAAUGUACGAGCAUGAGAGGGGAAAACUAAACUUGACAUAAGCUUGAAAGGAAUCUGAAAAGAACACUUAACUUAGCUUUACUCAACUCAUGAAUAUAUACUCAACUCAAAUGCAAAGUAAAAACAAUAAUAAAGGUGCAAUUUAUACAAAGCAUUUAAAACAAUAAGUGAUAACUGAUGAGUCCACAAAUUGGACUAAUUUAGGGCUUUAUUUUGAUAGAAAUAGUGUCCUCGAAUGCUUAUUUUGUCUCAAUAUCUGAUAAAAACUCUUAAGUUUCAGGUGUUUGAAGUUUUAGUGGAAGCAUGGAUACUUAGGCGCAAAAAGGAACAAAGAGGUUGAAAAGAACGAAGAAGUUGAAGCAUGAGCAUCGCCAAGAACCUUUGGCGAUUCACCGAAAGGACAGACUCUGCCCUUUGUUCCAGUAUGCGAAGUCCUGAAGGAAAAGGAUCAAAAAGGCGAUGAAAAAAGCAGUCGGCGCUUCACCGAAUAGUUCCACGAAGCAGUACUAUACUGCCCAAUGGUCCAGAACGUGAAGAUAUUGUAGGCAAGCACUCAACGGCGAUGAGACAGAAAAAGGGCGAGUCACCAAGUCAUUUGGCGGACUCGACUAACCUCGCAGAACUAUCCGCCUGCACUAAUUUCUGAUAGCUAUAAAUACUAAACUCUUUAUUAAUUUUACAAGUUCCAAACCAUUAUUAUUAUUUUCAGAAUAGAAUAGUAAUGUUUUUUAGAUAUUUUCUCUCAAGUUUAGAGAGGGUUUUUGUGGGAGACUUGAAGAGAGAAGUAUUUCAUCUUCCCCAAGUUGGAAGUGGGUCUUCUCCAUCCUUCUUCCUUUGCUUAAAUCAAGGUUUAAUUUCUUAUACCCAUUUAAUUUUAGUAGCAUUUUAGAUGUAUUUUGUUAUUUCUGAUGUAUGGCUAAAACCCCCCAUUCUUGGGGUGUGAUUUAGCAAUUAUGUGUUGAUAUUGUUGUUGGGUUUUGCUUGGUGAUAAGGUAGAUGUAUUUUAAUGAUGAUUUCACCUAGUGGUUGUGGUUUAAUUUAAGGGGUUUGUAGUUGCAAAUACAAAACCACCCAUGUGUUUUCAGCUUGCCCGAGAGGGAGGUCAUGAAACCAAGACCACGAGACUGAUGGCCUAAGGAAUGGGUCGACAUGAGGUUCAGCCCGAGAGGGUGAGCCCUAUUCCCAUAUCCUAACACUCAGCUCGAGAGAGUGAGUGGGGUAAGGCGUAGGCUGGUCUUCAUGCGGCAAAUGGGUGUCCGAGAGGAACCCAUUUGAAACGGGGUAAGUUGCCCGAGAAGGAAUUUAUUUCCAUCUAAAGCUUAGCCUAGUCACUAUUAUCUUGCAAAUUUCCUAUUGAAAACAUGUACCCAACGAUUUAUCUCAACUUGUAUUGCGGUCACACCCCAAGAACAUUUCCCCAUACUUGAUUUUCUUGUUAAUUUUUGCUAUUUUUACUACUUGUGACAAAACCCCCAAUUGAUAUUUGACACUUUCGUGUCACCCCCUUUAAUUUACCAUGUUUUUGUUCGUUAAUGUCAUUGAAUCAUGAUUGGCGCGUGGGUGAACUAACCCAACGCUAUGUGAUCUCACAUACCUUGUAGGAUUGAAUCCUUCGCGAAAUCCACAACCAAAAUUGCACGAUCUUGACGAAUCUUGAACUUUUCAUCUUCUUUCUCCUCUUUUCUCUUUUCUCCAAUCCCUAGCGUGUUUUGGUAAAUGCGUAAACUGAUCUAAUUCAGAUUAGACCCCAAUUAAACUCCUAAAAACGAAAUAAAAUAAUUGGGUGGUGAAAAGACCACAAUACCCUUCUAAAAUCCGGAUUAGACUUUCCUUAUCUAAACAAUCCAACUUCAAAUGGGAAUAUCACCCUCAUACAAACUUGGAAUCGCGCAAACUCAGAGGUAUUGGAAAGAUAAUUCAAAGAUAUUUCCUACGAUAUCAUGUAGAACACCUAUCUCAUCUUGAUCUAGGAGUUAUGGUCGUUUGAAGUUGACCAAAAACUCAAACUUCACUUAAUUUUGUCAAAUUUCCAGAUUUUUCAUUCUUUCCAAAAAUGACUCUUUCUAAUUCUAGAUCUUUCUAGUUCUUUCAAGUAGCGAGGUUUUACAACCCCUUACGCCACACUACCUUGAGAUUGAGUACCUCGAGCUCUGAAAUUUUGGGAACUAUGAUUCCUGCGAUCAUUUCUUUUUCUUGGUGUAGGUGCACUAGCUGAUGAUAGGACAUGUCUAGAUGACUUUUGUUGAAAACGUGACUUAUUCCCAUUUCAGUCUUCUGCUUGCCAGUUCAUGACUUGUUGUCUUGUCUCUCUUAUUGUGAAACUCUUCUAUAUCCUUUAACUUAUCUUCCUCAACCUGCUGCAUAUGAAUCAUGAGGCUGGCUAUGUCCAUGUCCCUUAUCAACAUAGCCACCUUACCUUCCUUACUCGAUAAGCAGGAUAGCCUAGAUACAAUUAAACUCAUCCUGCUCCUCAUAUCCGCCACCAUCUCUGGAGCAUAGCGGGAUAGUUGAGUAAACUUGAGGUUGUAGUCCUACACACUCAUAACUUCAUGUUUCAGAUUCAAGAACUCUCUUACCUUAACUUCCCUAAGCUCUCAGAGAAAGAAGAGCCUCUAGAAAACAUUCUCAAACAUAGCCCAACUCAAAAGUGUUUCCCCCUCUGCCCUGUUCUUCUUCCACUGAUCAUACCAUAUCCAAACAACACCUUUGAGCAUCAAUAACACGCAUGGCCACAAAUACUUUAUGAAGUUCUUCCACAAAGUUCUCUGGAUCCUCAGUGAUCUAUAUAGGUGUAAGUUGUGUUUUUUUACUCUUUAUCUAUCGGGGUUUUCCACGAUAAUGAAUCGUGUCAUUAAUUUAGUUGUUUUACUUAACACAUUGUCAGUACUCGACAAAGGAACAUAUAUAAUAACAUGUUCUUUAGGAAAAUCGGGGGUCAGUAAUCUAAUGGUUAGUUUACCAUUUCACCCCAUGCAAUAAAUCAAAAUCUAAUUGUAUAGUAAUAUUUUAAUUACAUAAAGGGUGAAUUAGAAGUUCAGCAAUAGUACUUUAAUUUUUACACUCAAUUCACCAAAAUGUGUCCAUCCUUAUUUACUCAUUAACCAACAUUCUCUUCUUUGCCAUAUUAUUUUUUGAAGAUUUUGAGAAGUUGUAUCAACUAAAUACUCAAUACAAGAUCACGAUCAUCUAUAAACCAAAUACUGUGAAUAUAAUAGGAAAUUAAGGGGUAAAAAAUUGGGUAGAAAGGAAAGAGAAAAUGCCACGAAUACUCUGAACUGGCUUAUGGAGGCUAGCACAAUGGGAGGAUAUAUUUUGGUGGACAUAAUGUUGUUCUCAUCCUCAUUUUUUUGAAGCCGGUAAAUACAUUUUUAGGUAAGAAUUUUUUUUCUCUCUUCUUUAAAGAAGCCUUUUCACUAUAUUCGUCGUUUGUGAAAUGCUUUCUUCCGUGUUUAGUAUGGCAUUAAACUCUUAAAAAAGUAGAAAUUUGAUGGUUUUACUAUAUACACACACUCACAGAAAAUUGGUGAAAGGUGUAGUAGACCACAUCAACUUAUUUCCAAAUCCGGAUCUAUCUUCGAUGAAAACUCAUCUUUGUACAUUUUUGAGCAAUUAAUAAUUCAAACAAAUGCUUUUGAAACAUGUAUAUUGUUAAAGAUUUUUUUUUUAUUUUUUUUAAUUAAAUAGUGGAUCUUGUAGCUCCUUUUAUUCAUUUCAAAUAAAUUUGUUCAAAACAAGACCAAUCCAAAAAUUGGAUAAGCCCAAAACAACGAGAAUUUUUUUAGCCCAGUCCAUUAAACGGAACUACCAUCUUCUAUAUCAAAACCCUAGACAAUAGGGUUUCCGAAUUUGAGAUCCUUUUCUUUCUACCCAUACCGCCGCUUGGAGCUGUCAGGAAUCCACCCUUCCUCUUGUUUUUGUUGUAGAUCAUCAACACCUUUCUCUUGUUUUCCAUGUUAACCCUCUUUCUCAACUCCUAGAGGUAAGAUUGUUUUAUUUGGUCUUUUCAUUCUCUAUUUGUUUUCUAACUUCCUCCUUUUCUCUUGUAGAUACAUAAUCCGGUGGAACAGUGGAUCCCAGAAGUGAUUUCGGUAGAGGCGUCUAGUCUUGUGGUUGAGCUCACAACUCUUUGUAAGUGGCCUUCUUCUUUCUCUACCUCUUUUCCCAGUUUCCUUCCUCUCUAAUUUCCUUUUCAAGCUGAAGAAUAAAUGGAGAUAUACAAACGCUCCUGACCUCCUUCAUUGUGGAUUUCCUUCCUAAGCAAGAUUUGUAACUCCCGAUCCGACCCCAAGACCCUCGCUUUUUGCUGGAGAAACUUUAUGUAAGUUGUCGUAGUCUAGACUAGGUAGUUUAAUGGUCAUAACUAUGUAUGCCUAUAAUGUCAAAAACAUUUUUUGUAAAUAUAAUAGUUGUGAGGUUUGUUAUUGAAAAUGAUUUUGAAGUAAUGUAUGCUUAAGUUUAUAGGUCUUGAAAUGUGAUCUUUCUUGCCUUGAUCCUUAGUAUUGGAAUGUUUGACUUAUCUGUGUUCAAAUCCUUUGCACUCCACUGAUAGUUGCUGAAAAUUAUGUCAUUGUCUAAUCUUUUCUUCACUUGCAAAGGAAGUGGCCGUUAACUUGGCGUAGCUCUCUUGGCUCCACUCUCAUAAAACCUGGUCUGCAUUGGUGAUAAAUCUCUAUCCCUUGCCGCUCUGUCUAUAUUUACUUCAAUUUCUUUAUCCUCCUCCCUCUCUCUCUCUCCUCUGUUUCUCCGUAUCAUUGAUCUCCUCUAAAUCAGAAAUGCUAUUGAUCUGAUUACCAUUUGUUUCCCCACAUUUGGAACAUGAUUCCUCUUCCCCUUCAUUUUGUCCCCCUAUUACCUUGUCUUUUUCUAUAGAAUUCAAUUCCUCUUGACUAGCAUUGUUCUCUCUCUAACUACUUACUCUUUGCCCUUACUUCUUCCACCUCUUUAUUCUUUGACCCACACCCUCUCAAUGCUUUAUACAUAACAAAUAUCAUUGAUUAUCUUGAUAUCUCAUCAUCCCAGAGGAGAGACAGAGGAAUUGGUUCGAGGAGGGCACUUAUAAGUUUCAUCUUGAUCAUAAUAGACCCAAGUGUUUGACUAAUUGAAGAAAUAAGUCAAGAUAUGACUAAAUUCAGAAAGGAUUUUCCCAAGAAUGUGUCCCUUUGAGUUGUUUGGCUUGAUAAACCAGGUGUAGAUGAGGAUAAACUACCUUCAAUAGAUAUAGUCAUAGAAAAACCACUCCAUGGUUAUAAUUUGUAUCGUGCCCUCGGAGAUGUACUAGAGUUUAGUGAUAAAAUUUUACCAACCAUCUCACAAGAAAUGAAGUAAGAAACAAUUCAACAAGGUCCAAUGAGGGAGCUUGAGGUCCACAAGUCCAUAAAGGAUGUUUUUGUUGAGAACAUACUUUCAAGAGGAAACAAAAUCUUGUUGAUUGAGGAUGAGACUUAUGAUUUCCAAAAAAAAAACGGUUUCUAAGUAGCUUGGUGCAACAAAACCUUAGAAACCAUUUGGGCACACCAAGGUGCUUAGAAACCAUUUUUUUUGAAAAUUUAAGUAACGUCGGAUCAUCCUCAAUCAACAGGAUUUUCUUUCCUCUUAAAGGUAAGUUCUCCACAAAAACAUCCUUUUGUGGACCUCAUUAGAGCUUAUUGAAUUGUUUCUUCCUUCAUUUAUUGUGUGAUGGUUAGUAAAAUUUUAUCUAUAAGCUCAGGUACAUCUAUGAGGGAACGAUACAAAUUUUAACCAUGGAGUUUUUUGCUAUAACUAUAUGUAACACCCCAAAAUUUUUUAAGCUAAGACCCGAACCAUUCUUCAUUUGUGUAUAAGGCCUUAUCGGAUGAUUCUUAAAUUGUUCCUAGGUUAUAAGGUCAAUUAUUUAGUGUGGAUAUGUAUUUGGAUAUGAAUUAAGGUUACAAGAAGCUCCUAACACAAAUUUGAGUUGAAAGCUUCCUUACCGAUUAAAUUUUGAUAUAAGAUUAUACUUGGGUCAACUUCAAACAAUCAUAUCUCUUAACAUAUAAAGAAUUAUGUGUCCCAUGACCUAUCAAAUUAAAGUUUUAUGAGUCCUCUUUCCAAUGCCACCAAGUUUGCCUCAAUCCAAGUUCUAAGUAAACAUUUAUAACUGAUUCAUUAGAGGUGCUCUAACCUGGCAGCAGCUCCGCGAUACGGAGCGAAUACAGACCUCACUUUCUGCUGGAAUAAAAUCCCGGAUUCCAGCUCUUUUUAUUUAUAUUUUAAGGAUAUCUUUCUUCUAAAAACCCUUAGGGAGUCAAAUAAAUUGCCCUAAAUGUGUAGAAAAUUAGUUUUCACAAUCAAACCAUCUCAUUCACUUCUAAACUCCUACGCUCUAGAACUUCAAGAAACACUAAGGCUAGGGUUCAUCUUCCAAGAUUUUCCUUCAUGUUUCUUCAAGAACUUUAUUAUUUGCAUUUCACUCCUUCCGCAUCUCCUAUAUUAACUAAAACUCCUUCCGCUAUUGACUUCUAUUUGAAAGUUAGUUGAAGUUGUUACAAAAACUCAUAGAAUUCAUAACUGAACCACUAAACGAAUUUUUAAAGAAAGAAGUAAUGCAGAAGAAUUGUGCAAGCAAAUUCAUUCGUGUGCUUUUCUGCAACAAAAACACAUCUAUAUCUAUGUAUACUAGAAACAUAGACUAACCUGAAAUUGAUCCAUAUUCUUAUAUAAGGAAUAAAAAUAAACAUCAAAAUUCGUGCACUAAAUAGAGUAAAUAGAGAUUGGAUGGAGAAAUGUUGUGUAUACUUGACAAAGAUUAGGUCCAAAAGCCCAUGAAACCUUCUUAGAUUUCUUCACACCCAUGAUGAAAUUGCUUAAUCAAAUACUCAAUUUAUUUAACAACACUCAAAAUUCGCCUUCAAAUGAUCGAUUUGUCAAUGCAAGUCAGAAUGUUGUUUCCCCAAAAAGGUUGAGAAUAGAAGCAAAGAUUGGAGUUAUCAAUAGAACAGAAGGCAGAAACCCUAGAAUUUUCAUUUUCUAAGUGAAGUAAAUGAAAGUUGAAGAGGGUGCACCAUUGUGGGAGUGAGUGAAGUACUCUAUGUUUGUAUUUUGUCUUUCCAACAGUUGACAAAAUACAACUAUAGAGUACAUCACUCACUCUCGCAGCGGUGCACCCUCUGGAACUUUCAUUUGCUUCACUCACAAAACGAAAACUCUAGGGUUGUGAUAACUCCAAUCUUUUCUUCUACUCUCAGCUUUUUGGGGAAGCAACAUUCUGAUUCAGACUUGCACUACAAAACCGAUCAUCUGAAGGCGAAUUUUGAGUGUUGUUAACUAAAUUGAGUAUCUGAUUAAGCGAUUUCAUCAUGGAUUUGAAGAAAUCUAAGAAGGUUUCAUGGGCUUCUGGACCUAAUAUUUUUCAAGUAUAGAUAACAUUUCUCCAUCCAGUCUCUAUUUACUCUGUUUAGUGCACAAUUUUUGAUGUUUAUUUUUAUUCCUUAUAUAAGACUAUGGUCAAUUUCAGGUUAGUCUUUGUUUCUAGUAUACAUAGAUAUAGAUGUGUUUUUGUUGCAGAAAAGCACACAAAUGAAUUUGCUUGCACAAUUCUUCUGCAUUGCUUCUUUCUAGGAGAAUGAGGCAUAUUUGUGGAGUGUGUAAGGGUUGUGGACUUGAGAGUGAAAUGAUUGAUCACAUGUUGUUUUGGGUGUCCUAGUGCUCAAUUAGUCUAAAAAAUUUACCCCAUUAAUUGGCCUAGUUUAGAAAAUACUAUGGAUUUUGGUUGAUGGUGGAAUGAUCUUUUUACUAAUGCUAAAAAAAUACUCUGAAUCUAUUGAGCUUAUAAAUUAAGUAUUUCUAUUAUGUGGCAAAUUUGGAAGGCUAGAAAUUCGAAGAGUUUCAAUGGAGAAAUUUCUGAUCCUAAUGAUAUUGUUAACAAAUCUCUUUUUGAUUUCCAUGAAUAUGAAAGUAAUUUGAUUCCUCCAUUUCCCCCUACAAUUAUACCUGCUUGUAGUGAUGAUAGAAAUAUAACUAUGGCACAAGAUGGUUUUGUUGUGUUUGCAGAUGCUAGUGUACAUAAGGAAAAGAACACGACAAGAAUCGGUGUGGUGGCUAUGGAUAGCUAUGGUAACUUGCUUCAAGCCUUUGGUACCCCAAUUCAAUAUGUUGGGAAAGCCAUUACUGCUGAAGCAAUUUCAAUUCGUAUGUCGCUAGAGAAUGCUAGAGAAAUGGGAUGGACAAAGGUGCAAAUCUUAUCAGAUGAAAAAAAUGUGGCAGAUAUGGUACUACGAAGAACUAUAGUUUCAUGGGAGAUAGAGACUACUUGUGAAGACAGUUGGAACCUUAUGAAGUGCUUUGAAGUGGUCAAUGUGACGCUGUAACACCCCGCAACUAGAACGAACUAGAAUUAAAAAGAAACCAUUUUUGGAAAUAAUCAAAUUUGGAAAGUUUGACAAAGUUAAGUUAAGUAUGAGUUUUGGGUCAAUUUCAAACGACCAUAAAUCCUAGAUCAGGAUGAUUUAGGUGUUCUACAAGAUACCGUAUGAAAUAUCUUUGAAUUAUCUUUCCAACACUGCCGAGUUUGUUCUGUUUCGAGUUCGUAUGAGUGAGAUAUGUCCAUUUGAGCUGGGCUGUCUAGAUAAGGAAAGUCAAAACCGGAUUUUAGGAGGGUAUUAUGGUCUUUUCACUACCCAAUUAAUUAAAUUCGUUUUUGGUAAUUAAGUUGGGGUCUCAACUGAUUGGAUUCAGCUUACGCUAUUGAAAAUAAGUUAGGGUUUUCAGAGAAGAGAAAAGAAGAGGAGAAAAGAGAAGAAUAAGUAAGGAAUCGCCAAGUUUUUGAAGAAUUGCUUGUGGAUUUCGCCAAGGGGUGAUCCCUACGAGGUAUGUGAGAUCACACAAUGUUGGGUUAGUUCACCCACGCGCCAAUCAUGAUUUUAUUCAGUGAAGUUAUGUUCUUGAAAGUAUAGAAAUUAAGUUCUUGAUGGAUUUGUUUGAAGUUUCUAUUGGGUUCUUGAUUGUUGAAGUUGUUGAGAAGUUCUUGAUGUAGAUUCAUGAAAUUAGAUGUCGUUUUGAGUAGAUUCUUGAAUAUUUUGAUUAUGUAGUCGAAUCUAAGUGUUUGGGGAAAGAUUCAAUCGAAUCUAGAGGGUUUAGAGUUGAAAAAUGACCAAGAGAAUUCGUAAAAAACUGGGGAAUAGAGGUGGGGCGCCGCACCACUCAGAGUGCCCCACAUCAGAGUCUAUAGUUAGGGCCCUAGGGCGCCGCGCCAGCCAGUGCACCCCAACCCAGACUCUGUAGUUUCAGAUCUGGCGCUCGGCGCCACUCAGAGCGCCAGGGACGCCAGGUUCUCUACCCUUUCCCACUUCUUUCCGUACAAGUUCCCUUGAAACGUACCUAUGUUUCCUAGUUGAUUUCUACACUCUAAGGUACGUCUAAAAAACAUGAAAUCAUCCAUAACAUGAGAUAAUGAGCCUUGAAUCCAUAAUUCAAUUCAAGGAAAGUUAGGAGUCAAGUCAAGAGAAGUUCAUAGAGUUUUCCAAGAAUCUUUUACAAAUGUUUUAACUUUGUUUUAAGACUUGAGUUUUGAGUUAAGUAAAGAGUAAAGAUUGAAGUUCAGUUCUUCAAAAGAGUAUAUCGGGACUAUGUAUUUCCAAAGAGUAAAAUGUUUUUACAUUUAAGUAAGAAAGGAAACUUUGAUUUCCAAAAGAGCCUUUGAGCUAAUUUUCAGUAAAAGAGUAAAUGCUUCCAUAAUUAAGUAAGAGAGGAAACUUUGAUUUCCAAGAGAGCCUUUGAGCUAAGUUUUGAGCAAUUAUCUCAUACCACAGAAAGAAGUUAUGUUUUUAAACAUAAGAGCUAGUAUUAUAUUUUGGGAGUAGUAUUGAGCACCGAUAUAGGGGAGAGUUCAGACAACUCCCAUCCCCCAUAAACCAUGUAGCCACCAUGGGUAGAAAAUGGUCAUACUUUUUAGAUGAAUUCUUAGUGCUUUUUAGCAUAGAGUAGUGGAUCCACUUAGUAGUCAGGUUCUAUACCCUCGACAAGGUAUAGGACGACCCUAGCAGCGUGAGGCAAAACGAUGUAUCAUCACAAUAGCUCUUAAGUGAUGGUUGUCGGUUAGAGAAACUCCCACAUCAGUAUUUUGUAUUCUUAUAUACACAAAAGUAAAUUGUAUUUUUAUCUACAUUCCAGAGUUUAUAUUGUAUCCUUGAAUACAUACAAAGUUACUAUUGUAUUUCUAAAUACACAGAGUUGAUAUCCAUGUUUUAAAAGCUUUUCUCUAUACUGCAUUCAUAUUAUUGCUUUAUAUUGAAAUGAGUUAAGUUGAGUUGAGUUGAGCCGAGGUAAGUUUUUUCAGUUCCUUUCAAGCUUAUGUCUUGUUUUAGUAUUCCCCUCGCAUUCUCGUACAUUCAAUGUACUGAUGUCAUUUGGCCCGCAUCGUUGUUAUGAUGCAGAUAGAGGUAACCAGGAUCAUCAUCCAAUGCAUCGUUCAGAGUUUGUUGGUGAACCUCCUUGCUUCUGGAGGAUCCCCUUUUUAUUGCUUUCAGUAUUUUAGUUCAUUAGGAUGUCGUGGGUCUUGUCCUAACGUCCAUCUCAAUUAUUAGAGGCUUCAUAGAUAGUUAAUUAAUUCAUUUGUCACUAUUUUGUUAUUGGCUUAUGUUUUGAGACUUGAGUUGCCAUCUUGGCCAGUUGAAUGUUUCUUUUAAGACAUUCUAAGUUAUUUCAUGAGUUCAUCAUUUGAGACUAUUUCUUGUGUUUAAGUCUUUCGCUGAGUAGUAAGCCAGGCUAAGGGUUCGCUUGGGGUCAGUAUUGGUUCUCAAGUGCUAGUCCCUCCCAGGGUGUAGGCUCGGGCCGCAUAUUCCAAGGUCUUGGAAUUUAGUAGCACAUAAUUUAGCAAAUUUUUCUAUUUCGUUAGUACGCAAAGUUGUUUGGCUUUCUACUUUCCCUAGAUGGAUUGUAAAUGAUGCUAUCACAUCUUUUAAUUCUUUGAACUUUUUUAUGCAUUAAUAUAACUAGCAUGUUGAUUGUCAAAAAAUAAAUAAAUCAUGGGCUUGAAGAAAUCUAAAAAGGUUUCAUGGGCUUCUGGACCUAAUCUUUGUCAGGUAUACACAAAAUUUCUCCAUCGAGUCUCAGUUUACUCUAUUUAAUGCAUGAAUUUUGAUGUUUAUUUUCAUUUCUUACAUAUGACUAUGGAUCAAUUUAUUGGUUGGUCUCGAUACCAAGCCCAAAUAAACCGUUUGGUGCUGCAACAUCUAGAGCAUAACCAGUUUGAGUCUAUCCACAACUGGACACUUGAAAUUGGCAUGUAUUAGAGAAUGAAUUUCAGUGGGGGCAGAUGUAGAAAACUUCUCAGUUAACCUUAAUCAAAUGUACUUGUUGGCACCCAAUUUUGUCCCCCACUUCUUCUAAUUUAUUUCGUUGAGCUUCUAAAUUAGUAAUAAGUCAAAUACUUUAUACUUCACGACUAUUUUGAUUUAUUACUAAUGUUGUCGUAAUUUUCAUUAGAUAUUAUUAAUAUUAUUACUCUAGCCUUUAUUAUUUUUAUGAUUAUCAUCCUUUUAUUAAUAUUUUCAUUAUUUUAAAAUAAUAUUUUUAUCAUUAACAUUACUACUAUAUUGCUGUCUUCUUUAAAAUGAUCGUCGUUACUUUAUUUCAAGUUUCUUACUUACUAAACUUUUUACAUAAUAUAUAUUAUACUAGUUAUUAAAUUAGAAGCUCAAAGAAAGAAUAUUCUUCAAAAGAGAAGGUAAAAAGGGAAUAUUAUGCAAAAUAGCAAACAUUUAGCCUAUGUUAGGUACUAUAGCUACAAUUUAAGAAAAAUGUAAUUCGCAGCUGCAAUUUCCUCAAUUCUUGCUAUUCCCAUGACUUUUAUAAUUCACCAUAUUUGUAUAAAUUAAUAAUUUGUAUAAUUCAGUUUCUGAUUGUAUAAAUGCAAAAUUUUGUAUAUGCUUAUCCUUGUAUAUGAUUUAUGAAAAAUUUAUAAUAAAUUACCAUGUUUGUACAUUGGCAAGCGAAAUAUACAAAUGAAGUUCUGAAAAAUUUCUAAAUGUAUAAAUACAAAUUUUUGUAUAUACUUACCCUAUUUGUAUAUUCGCAAGAGAAAUGUACAAACAGGCAAAAUUAUACAAACCGUACCCUCCAUAGCAAAUGAACUAUAGUUAUGAAGCACAAUUAUUAAAACUAUAGUUAUAAAACCUUAUUAUAUCUACUAUAUUUGCUAUUUCUGAAAUUUUCUCAAGGGAAAAACUAUCAGAUUCGUACCCAAUUAGUGGCCCAAUCGAAUUGAGCCCAACAAAUUUAGGCCCAAUUCAUCCAAUAUUGUUCCAUUAAUUCUAAGUCCAACUAGGUCUUAGUCCUUAGAUGCUCCUCCCCCUCCCAUUUCAAGAGUAAUUUCCCUAGAUAGUCACUCAUGUUUGAGAAAUUACCUAGUAAUAUCACUUAUGUUUGUUUUAGGACCACAAUAUCACCCAACUUUACAUAUUUUCCUCAAAAUAUACUAGACACAAAAAAAUAAUUGUUCUCUCUCCUAUUGGGAUGCCAUGCACUACAAUCAAAACACCUUUUAGCGGCAAUAAAUAAACACAUUAAUAAAGAGUGUUAAAGCUUUUACCGGCAUUAGUUAAGUGUUAUUAGAUCCAAUGUUGCUAAAGGUUUUAGGGACAUAUACAAAGAGUGUUGAUUGCCUCUAAAAAUACAUAUUUAGUGGCAAUUGAACUAUUGCCGUUAAUUAAUUGCCGCUAAAGAUCAUUUUUGAUGUAGUGAUGUCACAUUUUCAUUUUUUCUUAAAAAAUUUAACUUUUUAAAAUAACUCAUAUGUUAUAUUCAUUAAUUUUUUUUAAAUUAUUUAUCAUUUUUAGUUUUUUACUUUAGCAUAUUAAGAGAUAGACAUUUGUUUUUCUAUUAUUACAUUUAACAUUAAUUAUUUUCUAAAUUAUUUCUUAAAUCAUUCCUUCUUUAAUUUCUUAAAGAAUAUGCAAAGUGCACACUUUUAAUGAUAUUUCAUGUCAUAUUAUUCUUUUUUUUUUAAUUAAUAUUUUUUAAUUUUUUUUUAAAACUGGAAAAAUUUAGUUUCUACUCCUUCCGUCCAUCUUUACAUCUUUACUUGUUAAGUAUUAAUUUGACAUAUCUCUUGAGAAAUAAUAAAGAUAAUUUUACUAUAUCAAUCUUUUAAAAUAAUAAAUUUUAUAUUUUAAAAAAUGCAUUGGCAAAUGACUAUAAUUAAUAAUAAGAGUGGAUUAGGAAUUAAAUAAAUUAUCACUUGAUUUUCUAAAGAAAACAAGUAACAAAUGAAUAAUUAUUUAUAACGUAAUGAAUAAAUAAAAAAUGGACAGAGGGAAUAGUUGCUAGAAAAAAUUCCGUAAAAAGAAUUAGUUGAUAUAAUACUCUUGAGUUUUUAUGAGUACGUGAAAAUUGUUCUCUAACGUCAAACUUUUUUUUUUUGUUCACUUUUACUUGUUUUUAAUGUUAACCUUGUGCAUUUUAUAAGAACUUAAAGAAUGAAUGAUUUAAAAAAUGAUUUAGAAUAAAUAAUUAGUGUUAACCGUAAUAACAGAAAACAAAUAUGAGUUGUUUAAAAAUGUUCACUUUGUGUUAUGUAAUUAUUAUUUUUACAGAGUAUAUCAUAUAGGUUGAUUUAAAAAGUUAAUCAUUUUAAUUAUUAGUAAAAGAGGAAUAAUGUGACAUAGGCGAGAGAGAAAAAUGUUUUUUUGUGUCAAGUAUAUUUUGAGAAAAAUAUGCUUAGGUGAUAUUGUAGUCCUAAAUCAAACAAAAGUGAUAUUAGUAGGUAAUUUUUCAAACAUGAAUAACUAUCUAAGGAAAUUACUCCCCAUUUCAAUGAAAGCUCACCAUCUCCAUCAACACUAAAUAGAAGUUGUCACACCAUUUUUGACAAAUGUUAUACCUCUCUCAUAGCUUUAUUCACUUCAACAGUGCUCUCUCUCUCAUCAUAAGAGAAGAUUUGGUCAAUACAAGAAGCCAAAAAGCUUUUUGAUUUUGAUUUUUUUGGGCAAAGUUUCAGUGUUCAAACGCUUCUGUUUGUGGAAUCCAAAAUCAUCUCGUGACGGCUGAAUUUGAAUUUCAAAAGAUGAGACCUUAACCCCAAUUUUUUUGUCUAUAAAUACAUCUCAAUCUCUCAUCCAAUAGCACCCUGGAAACAUUGGAAAAUUUUCAUCAUUUCAUUAUCAAAAUACUUUCUCAAAGGCUUGAACACUCACAAUAACACCACUCUUUUACAUUUCAAUAUCAUCUUACGAAAACAUCUUUUACUCUACUCUCUAUUGCUUGACUUUGUCAGAGGAACGACUUAAGAUCCUUGAUCAACGACCUCAGUUCACUGCCCACAAACGGUACCGUCAACUUCCUUUUUCCCUUUUUUUUUUAGUUUUACCGUGUUUAAUUCGCUUAAAAAUCAUAAUUACAUUUUAAAGUAGUACUUAUGUUCCUUCUGUAAGAGUUCUAGUUUGUAAGUUAGAAGUCUUUUUUUCAAAGAAUUUAUACUAAACCUUUGGGUGAGUUUUUGGAUAACACAUGAAUAUAUUUAAGGCUGUAUUUGAAUCUCUCUCCCUUAACACUACCGAAAGUUAGUAUUAAUUUUAGAGAUAUUGUUAUGAACCGUGUCGUUACAGUAUUCAAACUAUUAUUGCAGCACAUCUAUUCCUUAUGUUUAAUCAUAAAAAAAGAUCUAAAAGUCUUGAAUAUUUGUUGAAAUCUGUUAACUAAUUCUUAUUUCCUCUCUUAUAUUUGUUUACAUGUACACACCGGAGCCGAAGAGUCCCACCAUGAGACUCAACGACACCAUUGUCACAUGGGGUCUGCACAUCCCUGCUUUCAUAAUUAUUGUUUCUUACAUCUGCUUGCUUACUUGUUUGGCAUGACUAACACUUUUAUCUCAGUUAUGUGAUUAUUGAUUACUAGCCGAUUUGAUUCAUGACUUACAAUUGGCCGAGAAUGAUUUAUUAAUACGUUUUAAUGAUUUCGAGUUUUGUAUAUAAAUUAUUUCAAUUUGUUAACCUAAAGCUUGAGAUUUUACCUAAUCAAAUACCCUUCUAGUUUUUCCAUCUAUGUUUUUUUUAAGAAAUCAUUUUACUUGGCUAAUUUAUUUAUAUACCCACUUAUUAGUAUUUUUCAAAUCAAUCACAUUUAGCCUAAUUAAUUAAUUCGACCCGUUAACCAUUGUUAAUGGAUCUUAAAGGGUGCUUAAUACCUCCACUUUAGGUUAGUUGAACCCUUAUUUAGAAUUUUAUGUUUAGUAAACCUUAAAUGGAGUUAACUUUAGACAUGAAUUUGAUCAAUUUUAGGUGCCCUAAUUCACCAUAAAUAAUUAGGUGGUGACACCUUAACUUAGUUAUGAAUUUAGGAAUCAUCAAUAUGUUGUACACUAUUUUGACCCCGUUAAAAUGAUGUAUGACAGUACUUUCCAUACAACACAUCUAGCUGUUUAAAAUACACUGAAAAUUGACAUCAAUUAGAAAAACAGAAGUUCUAGAUACUUACCCAAAGAUCACACCCGCCUAGACAAAUUUCCCGCAUUGUCUUUUGUUCUGCAAAAUAUCAUCCAAUUGGCUGAACCUGAGUCAGGACAAAACAUCCCUGAAUCGAAUUUAAUCUGUAAAUCAAAUUGGCUGAACCUAAGUCAAGAUAAGACAUGCCUGAAUUGAUUUUGAUCUGCAAAUCCAAUUAGUUGAGGGAAAAUGCAUAAGUACCCCCCAGUCUAUGUCCAAAAUCCCUGAGACACACCUAACCUUUACUAAGGUCCUAUUACCCCCCGAACUUAUUUUAUAUAUAAUUUUCUACCCCUUUUCGACCUACGUGGCACUAUUCUUGAAAACAUUGUCAACACGCGCUGGGCCCACAAGAUAGUGCCACAUAGAAAAUUAUAUAUAAAAUAAGUUCGGGGAGGUAAUAGGACCUUAAUAAAGGUUAGGAGUGUCUCAGAGAUUUUGGGCAUAGGCUGGGGGGGGUACUUAUGCAUUUUCCCAUUAGUUGAACCUGAGUCAGGACAUGAGGUGAUUGAAUCUAACUGGGUUCGCUCUGGCGGAGGAACUAGAUCAGGGAAAAAAGGGAUUCAUUAGGCUUUGGGUUGUCAAAUCAAAUGAGAAAGAGAUAGAUUAGAGCUGGUGGAGGAACUAGAUCGAAAAAAUAAAGAUUCAUUAUUGAUUAGGACUUGGGUUGGCAUUUCAAACCAGAAAGAGAUACAUCCAACUAGCUUUCAAAACAACUUACAUAGAUUCAUUUGGAAUUAAGUAAAAACUUGCAUAAAGAAGUCAGAUCAUCGAUAAGGUCACCAAUGAAACUAGUAAUUAGCUAACCUGAUAAAUAAAAUAAUAGGUUACACUGGAAUAUGCAAUGAACUACAUUUGAUUUAGUGCUGCAAAGUAGCUUGGCCUAGCUUACUUAAAGGCAUCGGCGGAUCUAGGGUAUCGAGUUAGGAUUUUCGCGAACAACUUUUGCGCAAACCUUGUAUUUAUACAGAGAAAUAUAUUAAAUAUAUAAGAAAUAUUUGUUGAAACUUACUAACAAAGCAGUCACUUGGUCCCGUGGUAGUGAAGAAGACACGUAUACCUAGCUUGAUUUUUUGUAUGGGGGUUCAAUUAGCCUUGGACACAUUUAAAGAAGUUUCCCUUUUGAAUAAAUAAUUUUCUAUGUUUCUAGAUUUCAUUCCUAAACAAUAAUUUCAAAUUGAAAAGAACUUUUUUGUAUGUGUCCUAGGCAAAUCGAACCUCCAUACAAAAAAGGCAAACUAAGUAUAAGUGUCUUCUUCACUACCAUGAACCAAGUGUAAGUUGUCAACAAAUAUUUCUUAUAUGUUUAAUAGAUUUCUCCGUAUGAAUAUAAGGUUUGCAUAAAAAAUUGUUCCCGAAAACCCUAACCCGAUACCCUAGAUCCGCUGCUGCCUUUAAGUAUGCAAGGCUAAGCUACUUUGCAGCUCUGAUAAAAUGUAGUUCAUUGCAUAUUCCGAUGUAACCUAUUUUUUCAUUUGUCAGGUUAGCUAAUUACUAGUUUCAAUGGUGACCUUAUCGAUGAUCUAACUUCUUUAUGCAAGUUUUUACUUAAUUCCAAAUGAAUCUAUGCGAGUUGUUUCGAAAGCUAUGCUGGAUCUAUCUCUCUUGUUUGAAUUGUCAACCCAAGUCCUAAUGAGAAAUGUCCCUGUUUUUUCCGUUCCAGUUCUUCUACCAACGCUGAUUUAUCUCUUUCUCGUUUGAUUUGCCAACACAAAGCUUAAUGAAUCCCUCUUUUUCCAGUUCCUCCAUCAACGCGAACCUCAGUUAGAUUCUGGCACGUCCUGUCCUGACUCAGGUUCAACCAAUUGGAUUUGCAGAUCAAAUUUGAUUCAGGCAUGCCCUGUCCUGGCUCAGGUUCAGUCAAUUGGAUUUGUAGAUCAAAUUUGAUUUAGGGAUGUCCUGUCCUGGCUCAGAUUCAGUCAAUUGGAUUUGCAAAUCAAAUUUGAUUCCGGGAUGUCCAGUCAGCCAACUGGAUGAUAUUUUGCACUUGAGAACAGAAGAUAAUGUGAAAAAUUUUGUCCAGGCGGGUGUGAUCUUUGGGUAAGUAUCCUGAACUUUUUUUUUCUUUUUUCUAAUUGAUGUCAAUUUGCAGUGUAUUUUUAACUGCUAGAUGUGUUGUAUGGAAAGUACAUUUGGUUAAGGUAAACUGAUCUUUGGGUAAGUAUCCUGAACUUUUUUUUCUUUUUUCUAAUUGAUGUCAAUUUGCAGUGUAUUUUUAACUGCUAGAUGUGUUGUAUGGAAAGUACAUUUGGUUAAGGUAAACUGAUCUUUGGGUAAGUAUCCUGAACUUCUACAUUUGCCCAAAUUCAUUCUCUGAUACAUGCCAAUUUCAAUUGUGCAGUUGUAGACAGUUGCAGCAUCAAACGGUUUAUCAGUAAAAUUGGUCUCGACACACUGUGUGGUAAUCUCUCUCAAUCUCCAUUGAGUCUAAGUAGCCGAGACCAAUUUUACUGAUAUUCCUGCAAUUUCUAAAAGCUUCAAUGGUGCAUCUGUGGUUGAGAUCUAUGAGACAUCGAUGGGUGAUCAUUUUGUACGAAUUUAAUCUGGUCUUUUACUUUUAUAUUACAAUAAUGCAUAGAGACCGAAAAAAUCAUGUAAAAGAAAUUCAUAGUAGUCAAAUGAAUUAAAAUUAGCCCUUUCUAGGCAUAUAAAGAUAAUUUCAUGUGUUUUUUUUCCGCAUAUUUUGCUCCCAUCAGGGGAGGCAGUGGUCAAAUGCAAACCUCAGAUUGAUCUAAUAAAAAACUGCCCUGGCAGAGGAAUGAUAAUAACUGGACCUGCUCCACAGGGUUCCGGCUUUGAUUUCUAUAGCCAUUUCUUCUGCCCAAAGUUUGGAAUCAAUGAGGUAACUACCAACACUUGAAUGUAUAGUAUUUGCAUUCAAGCAGAUCAUAGUCACUGAAAAGGGUAGUGCUGAAUUUUGCAAAGUCUAGAUAAUUAAGCGAGUCAUAUUGAUAUUAUUUAUCAUAUCUUCGACAACUACAGAUGCAAACAUCUAUAUGUUGAUAUAGCUGAUGCAUCUUAGAGAUCUCACGUGUUCUCUUAUUGCACAUUUUUUCUUCAAACAACUUUUCAGGAUCCUUUUAGUGGAAGUGCUCAUUGUGCCUUGGCUCCUUAUUGGCGUGAAAAGCUUCGCAAAUGUGACUUUGUUGCUUUAGCGAUACUUACUCAUUUCUCAAAAUGCAAAGACUGUAAUACUUAUUCAUGUGUUUGUGCAAUCUGGGACUACUUAUACCAACUACAUAGUUCGGUUUGCCCAAUUGAUUGUAUUGUUUUGUUGUUCAGGCCUCACCUAGAGGUGGCGUCUUGAACCUGCAUGUAGACGACGCGAAGCAGAAGGUAUUUAUGAGAGGGAAUGUUGUGGCAGUCAUGGAAGGUUCUCUUCUAGUUUAAUGUCACAGUUCACAUCCAUGAUCUUUAUUCAUCUGCCACUAUCACAAAACUUUAAUAAUAUGUUGGAAGUAUGUGUCUAAAAUUUCUAAAUUGGUUUUUGGUAUGUACUUCACAAUGACUUUUUAAACAUCUUCAGUUUCUCAACCAUCAUCAGUUCAUUAGCCUACAAGUAGUGCUCGUGUCUUGUUAAUUUUGAAAUUGUGGGAAGCUACUCUUUUUAGGAUGAUAUUUCAGGUGUUUGGUUUUCAUUAUGGGUAAACUACAUAAAUCCCACAAGUUUAGAUCCUAAUUACUAGGAAUCUCGAUAGUUUUUGAUAUUACAUUCUAUACCAUUUUCGGCUAUUGGAUACAUGUGUCGAGAUACGUCAGAUACAUGUAUCAGUCAGAUGUAUAAGACCGAGAUUUACAAUUUAAAGUUUCAGAUACAUGUAUCAGUCGGGUGUAUAAGAUCGAGAUACACAUACUUUUGAAUUAAAUAUGUUAACUUAAUGCCUUAAUUAGCGGAGUAAAUUAUGGGAUACAAUUGAAGUUAGAUACAUAUUUUAAAGCGUUUGAAUUAAAUGAUUAUAACUAAUUUGCUCAAUCAAUAAAGUAAUUCACUAUUGUUAACAACUUUUGAGGAUCUGCAACAUAACAACUUCAAAAAAAAAUUCCAAGAAUAUAGAAAUUUGUUCAUUUUUUUCGAGAAACAUAAAAAGUGUAUAAAAUCUUCUUCUUUCCAUUAAUUCAAUUUUAUUUCUCCGAAUCUUGAUCUCUGUUUUUUUUCACAAUAGCCAUUUUUAUUCCAUUUUAAAACUGUGAUGGUGAAGUUGUUUUCACUAUAGCCAAAUUCAUAUACAUACCAGAUACAUUAACAGGAAAAUCAGAUUCACGACAUUAACAACUUAGAUACAUUAACAAAAAGCAGCUACAAGACAUUGAAAGCUUAGAUACAUUAACAUAAAAGAUCAAAUACAUAAAAAUAUUACAUCAGAUGCAUGAAACAAACAAACUAGAUACAUAGGAUAUUUAAAAUCAAACACAAUUCAUAGUCUCGAUGGUGAAAGCGGAGGAAAUUUGUUGAACAGAGAUGACGGCAACGAUGGCUGUUAUAGUCAGGAAAGUAGUAGUGUCGAUGCUGAGUCUAGAUAUAACAGUGAUAAUGAUUCCGAUUGCUCCGAUCUCGCUCUUCUUGUUGGCUUUUGAUUUUGGUUUUUUUUUUAUAUAUAGAAUUUGCAAGUUUUGGCUGUGAAAUUGUUUAGUUUGAAUACAGUUCAUGUUUGAAUAGGAGUAACCCUCAUUUCUGUGUUGAGAUGAUGAAUGAAAAUGUUUUUUGAUAGAUAUUUUAAAGAAAUUAUGUCUUUGAAAGGAUGAAGAAAGAGAGAAAAAUGGUGGAUAACGUGGGGGUGGGGGAGAGAUAUUGUUGGGGGAGGAGAUUGAGAGAAAUUGAAUUGUUAAAGUACCCUUAAUUAAGGAAUUUAAGUUUUAAGAUAAUUAUCUAAUACCAUAUUUAAGGGAUUUGUGUAUCUGAUUUAACUUUUUAAAAUAUAUGAUAUAAUUAUUAAAAAGUGGUAUUAUGAGUAAUAUUUUUAAACUAGAGGUAAAAUAUGUAUAUAUUGUAGUUAAGUAUGUCUAAUUAUAUAGUUUUACCUUAUUUUUACCUUUAUCGACACUUUGCUUAUUCCAAGAAUAUAGAAAUUUGUUCAUUUUUUUCGAGAAACAUAAAAAGUGUAUAAAAUCUUCUUCUUUCCAUUAAUUCAAUUUUAUUUCUCCGAAUCUUGAUCUCUGUUUUUUUUCACAAUAGCCAUUUUUAUUCCAUUUUAAAACUGUGAUGGUGAAGUUGUUUUCACUAUAGCCAAAUUCAUAUACAUACCAGAUACAUUAACAGGAAAAAUCAGAUUCACGACAUUAACAACUUAGAUACAUUAACAAAAAGCAGCUACAAGACAUUGAAAGCUUAGAUACAUUAACAUAAAAGAUCAAAUACAUAAAAAUAUUACAUCAGAUGCAUGAAACAAACAAACUAGAUACAUAGGAUAUUUAAAAUCAAACACAAUUCAUAGUCUCGAUGGUGAAAGCGGAGGAAAUUUGUUGAACAGAGAUGACGGCAACGAUGGCUGUUAUAGUCAGGAAAGUAGUAGUGUCGAUGCUGAGUCUAGAUAUAACAGUGAUAAUGAUUCCGAUUGCUCCGAUCUCGCUCUUCUUGUUGGCUUUUGAUUUUGGUUUUUUUUUUAUAUAUAGAAUUUGCAAGUUUUGGCUGUGAAAUUGUUUAGUUUGAAUACAGUUCAUGUUUGAAUAGGAGUAACCCUCAUUUCUGUGUUGAGAUGAUGAAUGAAAAUGUUUUUUGAUAGAUAUUUUAAAGAAAUUAUGUCUUUGAAAGGAUGAAGAAAGAGAGAAAAAUGGUGGAUAACGUGGGGGUGGGGGAGAGAUAUUGUUGGGGGAGGAGAUUGAGAGAAAUUGAAUUGUUAAAGUACCCUUAAUUAAGGAAUUUAAGUUUUAAGAUAAUUAUCUAAUACCAUAUUUAAGGGAUUUGUGUAUCUGAUUUAACUUUUUAAAAUAUAUGAUAUAAUUAUUAAAAAGUGGUAUUAUGAGUAAUAUUUUUAAACUAGAGGUAAAAUAUGUAUAUAUUGUAGUUAAGUAUGUCUAAUUAUAUAGUUUUACCUACUCAUUAUUUUUUGAUAACUGGAAUGGCUAAUGUUCCUGCAUGAUUAAGCUUCUGAUUUUACUAAUCAUUUCCUUUAAGAAUAUUAAAAUGAAGGAUAAGUGGACAACUUACAUAAAUCUCAUUAGUUUAGUACCUAAUUAUCUUUCUUCUCUUUACUUCUCAUUAUUAUGAAACUUACCAGAAUUUGGACUUCAGAUACAUGUAGUUGGCGCGUCCGAUACAUAUAUCUCGGAUAUAUAAAGUCAAAAUUUGGUGGAAUUUAUUUUAGAUACACUAUAUUCAAAUAUAUUCACAUAUAUCUACUCUUUGGCUCGUCUCCCUCCUAUCUUGCUCACCACUCUCAUCUCUCGCACACCUCUCUCCAUGUAUCUAUUAUCUCAAAUACAUGUAUCUAGUAUGAUUCGUAUGUAUCUGAGCUACAUAGACUAUCUCACUCACAUCUCUCCCUAUUUUAGUGUAUUUGAUAGUAAAAAUACAUGUAGGUGUAUCUGACUUGAAAUUUGGUAUGAAAUUAUUAAUUAGUGAGACAAUAUGUAAUUAUUUCAAACUAUAGAGAAAAUUAAUAAAUACAGUAGGAAUUUUUGUUUAGUUAGGUAGUUUUUCCUAAUUUGUUAUCCCAUAAAAAAAAUUAAAACUUAGAUGAAAAUGUGUAGGGAUUAAUUAUGAGUGAAUCUAUGUAUUAUUUUAUACAGUGAUUACUUAUUCAUGUAUUGGUUAUACAUGUAUGAGUUAUUCCAUGCAUAUUCUAUCACCCAUAGAAUAACACAAUGAUUUCGUCAUAACUUAUAUAUUUAUUAGUUGUGCGAAUAUCUAAAUUGUCAACCAAAUAUUGUAUUAAUUUUAUGUAUGAAUAACUUAUUUGUUAUCUACCUACCAAACGUCGUAUAAGUUAUACUUAAAUUAAUAUAUGCAUAAUUCGUUUCAUAUAUAUCCAUCUAAAAUUAGUAAUAAAAUGAUAUUGAUACCUAAUGGUUAUAGUGAAUGAGGAUGGUGAUUAGCGAUAUAUAAUUGUCAUGCCCUGAGCCUACACCCUGGGUGGGACUGGCACUCGAGAACCAUUGCUGGUCCCAAGCGAACCCUUGGCCUGACUUACUACUCAACGGAAGACUUUACUCAACAUUUAAGACAACUCAAGAGAUAAAUUCAUAAUCAAACUUAGAAUGUAUAAAGGAAAAACGUUCAACUGGCCAUAAAGACAACUCAAGUCUUACGAUCAAAACAACUGAAAUGAAUAAGACUAACGAACUACUAAUGUCUAACUGUCUAUGAAGCCUCUAAUACUUAAGAGGGAUGUCGAGACAAGACCCCUGAUCAUACUAACAAUUGAAAUAAACAAAGCAAUAAAAGGGGACCCUCCGAAAAGCAAGGAGGCUCACCAAAUGACUCUGAGUGCUCAACGAAGCGUUGGAUGCUGAUCCUGGUUACCUGUAUCUGCAUCAUAAAAUGAUGCAGGCCAAAUGGCAUCACUACAUUGAUGUACGAGCAUGGGAGGGGAAACCUAAACAUGACAUAAACUUGAAAUAAACACUUACCUCAACUUUUCUCAACUCAUGGUUACUCAACUCAAUGCAGAAAUAAACAACAGUAAAAAUGCGGUUUAUAUAAAGCAUUUAAACAGUAAGUAGCAACUCAAUGUAUUGGAGAAAUACCAUAACAACUCAAUUUAUAUAUAUAAUAAAGUAAUAUAAUUAUGUAGGAAUUUCUCUAACCGACAACCAUCACUAUGAGCUAUGUGAUGAUAUAACGUCUCGCCCACGCUGCCAGAACUAUCCUAUAAUUUGUUGGGAUAUAGAACGCCUCAACUAAGUGGAUCCACUAGUCUAUGCUAAAAAGCAUUAAGGAAUCAUCUAAAAAGUAUGACACUUUCUACCCACGUUGGCUACAUGGUUUAUGGAGACUUGAGUUAUUAUGAACUCGUCCCCAUAUCGGUGCUAAAUACUACUCCCAAAAUAUACUCAGCUCAUAUGUUUUAAAAACAUAACUCUUUCUCUGUGGUUUGAGAUUAUUACUCAAACACUCUCUUGGAAAUCGGUGUUUUCGUUCUUGUUUAAAUGUGGAAACAUUUACUCUUUGGGAAUACUUAGUCCCCAUAUAGUCUUUUGAAGAAAAUGAACUUCACUCUUACUCUUACUCAAUUCAAUGCUUAAGUCUUAAAACAAGUUUAAAACAUUAAUAAAAAGACUUUUGAAAUGACUCUAAGAACUCUCUAGACUUGCCUCUUAACUUUCCUUGAAUUUGAAUUUAUGGAUUCAAGGUUUUGAUUCAUGUUUACGGAUGAUUUCUAGAUGUUUAGAAGUCAAUUAGAGUAGUUAGAAUCGAUAGUAAGUGUUAGUACACUUUAGAAGGACUCAGACGGGCUAAACGAUGAAAAACGGGUGGGGGCGGACGACCCGGGCGCACUGCUGGCGCGCCAACCAGCCCCCAAAGCUCAUAGACCUAUUUUGGGCGCAUUGCUGGUGCGCCACCCCAGCCUCCUUGGCGCAUCAGGGGCGCACCGCGCUAGCUUCCCCCAGGCAAACCCGACAAACUUUUCAACUCGUUUUCUGAUAUUAAUUCGAUUAAAUUCGACCCUUUCCUCAAUUUCUCUUUAGAUUCAGAUACCCCAAACAUGUACACAAGAAUCUAACUCAAAAAACUCUAAUAAUCAACACUAUAAUCUCAAGAAACUCCUCAAUCUCAUCCCGAUUCAAUAACGAAAGUAAAUUCAAGAACACAUAUCAAGAACAUUCAAAUUUUCAACUUUUUAGGACGAAUUCAUGCUGAAUUAAACAUGUUUGGCGCGUGGGUGAACGAACCCAACGCUGUGUGAACUCGCAUACCUUGUAGGAUCAAAUCCUUUGUGAAAUCCGCAAUCAAUUCCUCAAGAAAUCGACGAAUCUUGACCUUUCUCUUCUCUUCUUUAAAACCCUAGCGUGAAAUCUUUGAGUGCGUAAACUUAACCAAUUCAGUUUAGACCCCUAAUUAAUUACUAAAAAUGAAAUAACUUAAUUGGGUAAGGAAAAGACCAUAAUACCCCUCUAAAUUCGGGAGAUUUUCCUUAUUCGAACAACCCGACUUCAAAUAGGCAUAUCUCCCUUGCACGAACUCAAAAAUUAGCAAACUCGGUGGCGUUGGAAAGAUAAUUCAACGAACUUUCAUUUGAUAUCUUGUAGCUCACUUAACUCAUCCUGUGCUGAGAGUUAUGGUCGUUUGAAGUUGACCCAAAACUCAUACUUAACAUAACUUUCCAAAUUUCAGAUUUUCAUUAUUUCUAAAAAUGGUUCUUUCUAAUUCUAGUUCUUUCAAAUAGCGGGAUGUCACAAUAAUUCUCUAAUGAUUGUAAUUAUCGAUAGUGAAUAGUGAAUGUAAUAAUAGUUGAUGGUGAUAAUUGCAAAUGAUGUCUAAUUAUGGUGACAAUUGAUUUUGGUGAUUGAUGAUUGUAGUUAGGUUAUGGAUGGUAGGUGGUGGUGGUUGACGAUAGUAGUAGUGGUGCUGAAAUGGUAUAGUCAUAAGUGGUGAGUGAAAUUAAAGUAAAUGGAGUAGGGGUGAAUUAUCAUCUUUUAAUGAAUUCUUAAAUAGACAUUAAUAUAUUAAUGAUAUUAAGAGUUGAUAUUGAAUCUAUGAUUUUACAUUUUGCUUAAUUAAAAAAUAUUGAAGUUUGUCAAAAAAUGGACAUAAUCUUUUAUUUAAAAAAAAAGGAAAGAAAAGUUGUGUUCUUUUAACAAUAGAAAUGUUUAAGAAUAUAAAUUUAACUACUAAAGUCUUCAUAUCAAUAAAUAAAGUUUUUUAUGAUAAGAUCCAAGAUAAGAUAUCGUGAACACAUGACAUACAUCUUAUUAUUCGGAAUUAAUUAAUACAAUAUAAACAAUGAUAAUAUUAUUAGACAUUUGUUGUAAAGUUAAUGACUUUAUGUCUUGUAAAAAUAUGCAUCAUAAUAAAUAGAUUAGUUAAUUAAUUAACGAAAAAAUAAAAGAGAAAAGCCUAAGAUCUUAACCGAGAAAAUGAUCAAAAUGGUGGUUGAGUAUAUCCAUUUUAUUGAAAUAGUCCUUGAUAUAUGUAAAAAAGUGAUCAAUUUUAUCAGAAUCUUAAAUCUUUUAAAGAAUCAUUAAUUGACAAUUUUUAUUUGAAAUCUGGGUUCUUAAAAGAUUCAAGAAACACAAUAGUUUGAAAAUUUUAUACUAUAAAAAAUGCUUAACUCGUUGGAAGAAUCAAACAUAGAAAGUUCAAUCUUCAUCCAGUUACACUAUUUUUGUCAAUUGCAGUCAUAAUUCACAUUGAAUUUGUUUUUUAAAAGCGAUUUUCUGAUAAACCAUUUCUCAAAUUCGAACCUUUACCAAAUAUUUAGUAUUUGUGAAAAUUUUGGAUUUUAGGAUUUUCACGAAGAGAAAAAUAGCUAUGAUUAAAUUUGCGGGUAUAUUUGUAUAAUUGAGCUAUUUUUGUAUAAAUUAGAAAAAAAUAAAUUUUACAAACACAAACAUCUGAAUUUUAAACAGUUAUACAAAUUAUAUUAUACAAAUUAUAUUAUACAAAUUCUGAAUUAUUCAAACUAAAACACUAACCGCGUAAUUAUAGCUAAAAGUAGGUCGCAGAUUUUAAUUAAGGCAAACUGUAGCUAUGUUAACUAAUUAAUUAGUAUAUAUUUGCUUAUCCACGUAAUUUUCUCAUAUUUAUUCAACAAAAUUUUAAAGAACUUUUUUUUGAAAAAAUCUAAUCCAAAUCAAAAUACCACUACAAAAAAUUGUUAAUUUGCUAAGGUCAAAUUACCAAUUGCGAGGUUUAACCCCGCAAUAUGUUUAGUGGCGGAGCCAUAAAUUUCAUGAAGGGUGUCCAUAAAAAAAGGAAAUUUCACGAAGAGUGUCCAUAAAAAAGGGAAAAAAGUGUUGCUAGUGAGAUUUGAACACAUGAGCAGUUAAGGCUAUUUCAAGGCAUCUAAAACCAUUGGGCUACAAUACCUUAUUCUAUCAAAGAUGUCCAAAAUUUGUUAUUUAAUCACUUCGUGUAUCAUUUUUACCUAUAAAUGCGGUAUUGUUUACCAAUGAAGGGUGUCCAAUUGAACACCCUCACUAUAGGGUAGCUACGCCCCUGAAUAUGUUGUCCUGGCGGUUUUCAAAACCCCAGCAUUUUCAUCUGUUGCAAUUAUUUUUCAGAGGUUUUUAAAGAACCGCUGCAACCAAUUUCGACGGUUAUUUUUUGACUGUUUUAGCCCUCCUAAUCCAUUUUUAGAAUUCUUUAUAAUACUUCAUUUCGCGGGUUAUGAUUCCCGCUGAUUGCCUAAUUUUUUUUUUUUUAACGUUUUGCAAAUAAUAAUCUCCUCAUUUUUUGGCAAUAUAUAUUUUUCCAUAAUUAUUAGCACCAUUAGCUUUUAUAGCACAUUUUUUUUAUAUAAUAGAUCACACCUUACACAGAUUUAUGCAUUAAUCAAAAGUAGCAAUAGAAGAGAAGUUCAACAAUCUAUAAAAUUUUCAUUUUGGUCAUGAAAAUUCUGAAAUAGAAGCCACAAUAAGAUUUUUUUUUUUUGGAAAUCUUUCAUUUUCACAAAGAGCAAAAACAUACAAAAAGAAUAAAGAAGGUUACCAGCUACAUUCUUGAUUCAAGACAGAUGUCUACGAAAGUACAUACCAUUUCAAAGAACACUAAAGUCGCUUACCUAAUACGAUUUUAAGUAAUAAUUUCCCAAAGAGCACUUCAAAUCAUGUCUCCAUAUCGAUAAGUGCAUUGUAGAAAUAUGAGAUUGUUAACUUCGUUAGAUGUUUUAUUUCCUUGAACAAAACUAAAAAUAUCAUUGACCAACCAUCACCAUUUCGCACCAACAAACAAGAUGUGCUUUAAGUAAUCUUAUUUGAGACAGUAAUCCAAUGUGUUCUAAAGUAUUAUGUACUCUUAGAUGAUCUUGUAUGCAUGACAUCGAUUCUUGGGGGAUAUAUAUUGUUAAUUUUCUUGCAAUUGUUAUAAAGAUUUGUAUGGAUUUAAGUUAUACUUGUCAUAGCAGUAUCCAGACACUUUAUUCUUCUCUUUCAAGCUCUCUAAUGUGUUAGCAAAGCAUGGCUAUCACAAUUUACUUCGGGAGACUUAAAGCAAGAAGCAACUAAUUUCUGCAACUGUAAAUAGUUGAAGCUAUAUCUAUCUAUCUAAUAGCAUUGAUAAAAACACAGUCAAAUCAGUUUAUGGCUCACAGAGAGUAGAUAUUCUCACCGACGACAAUAAACUUCUCUUGUUACAUCAAGUGUUGAGAACUAAAAAAAAAACUACUUCUUGCCCCUCCAAAACAGAAGCAAUGACCCCUUCGAUCAAUACUUUCUUUACUUCCUCACUUCACCAUCUCAUUGCCUCAUGCUCCUUCAAACUAAAGGCAACUAAUUAUCUAACCUGGAGGACACAAAUGAUCCACACACAUGUAUGUGGAUCGGAAGCCAACAAUCACAGGACAAACAACUCAGGUAAUCUGACUGAUCUCAAAAACUAUAAUGGAUCUGAUAAGAUCAUUGUUGGAAUUCGUUCAAAGGUAGAUAUCACUCAUAUUGGAAAUACAACUAAAUAAGGAUUGAAAUUAAAGGAAAUGUUUUUUGGUUCCCAAGAUCACUAAGAAUCUGCUUUCCUUUUAUAAGAUUGCCAAGGAUAACUUAUGCACUCUUGAAUUUGAUGAAUCUAACUUUGUCGUUAAGAACAAUGAGACAAGGACACUACUGGUCAAAGGAUCUAGGAAAGAUGUACUCUAUGCCUCGGAGAUAACAACCUUUAUGCCUUAACUGCAUCACAAUACUGGAAGAGCUCAAACAGUAUAUGACAUUUAGAUUAGGACAUCCUAGUUUGAAGUCUUUAACAAUUUUGAGUAGAAAUAGUUGUUUCAAUGUUACUAGUUGAAAUGAAGUGCCUAAUGUGUAUUUGAGUUGUCAGUUGGGAAAAGAAUAUAAAUUACCAUUUGUCUUGAGAAAUAAAAUUAAGAAAGAACCUUUGUUGAAAAUACAUUGUGAUCUCUAGGGGCCUGCUCCUGUUGAAUCUUCUCAACAAAUGAGGUAUUAUGUAGUGUUUGUAGAUGAUGACACAAGGUUUACAUGAAUUUAUCCAUUGAAAAAGAUAUCAGAAUUCCUUGAAGUAUUUUUAAAAUUUCAGAAAAAUGGUGGAAAAACAAUUCUAAAAAACUAUUAAAAUAAUUCAAUGUGAUGGAUGUGGUGAGUUCAUCAACACAAACUUGACUAAGCACCAGGAGGAUUGUGGAAUUAUCAAGCAUAUUUCAUGUCCUAACACACUAGAACAGAAUGACAUUACUGAAAGAAAGCACAUAUACAUAAUUGGACUGGUUUCACUUAGUUGUUUCAUGUCAAAUUACCCUUGUUCCUAUGGCAAGAAGCCUUCUUGACUACUGUGUUUCUCAUAAACAGGCUCCCCUACUUAGUACUGCAAAUGAAAAACUCCUUUUGUGAAGUUGUAUGGUGCACAACUUGACUACAACAGUCUCAAAGCAUUUGGAUACAUGUGUUUUCCUUACUUGAAAGGUAGCACAAAGUUCAGCCCAAAAAUUUAUCCUUGUGUGUACAUAGGAUAUAUAUAAUAAUCUGCACAAGAGCUAUAGGUGCUAUCAGAAGAGUAUAUGUGUCUAGACAUGUGGUGUUUGAUGAAAGCACACUACCUUAUGUACACUCAGAUCAAUCCCAGGAAAAAUCUAAUGUAUCUACUCACUUAGAUGCAGACACCAAACAUUACCAGCUCCACUUUAGGGGGAGUACUGUACAACAGUCAUCAUGUUGCCACCAACGAUAAGCAAAUGGUAGAACUUGUGAUAUACUUUAGUUGCCAUUUUGCUUUAACAAAACAAAUUAAAUAUGAUGCUUACUUGUGAAUUAUAAGUUGAGAUUUUUUUCAUGAGGAUUUCCUGCGAAAAUGUAAUCCUACAAAAUAAAAUGCAAGAAAAUUCCAUGUGUUCCUUCCAGCUCAGUUAAUUAUUCAUUCUUUCUUCUGAAACAAGUCAUCUUCAUCGAGAAGUGCCACAUUAUUAUGUGUGUUUUUGUUGUUGGAAUGCAUAGGCAUUAUUACUGCAACAGAACCCAAAACAGAAAACAACAAGCUAAGGACUUGUUUGCUACUUCUUCAAUUCGAUGUGGCCCCGAUGGUGAUGGCGUCCUCACCCAAAAAUACCAUCACCACCAACUCAUGUCGACGUAACUCCAUCUCCAUCUCCAAUUGAUAAUGCGGCUUCACCAACGCAUAUGGCUCCAUCCCCAACUGAUGAUGUGGUUUCGCCACCGUCUUCGGGACAGUCCCCGGCUCCAACCACUUCUUGCAUCAAGGUGGACGGUUGUGCAUUAGAUUUGAUCACUUCCGUUUUCAACAAUGCUGCCAAGUACUUUCAACAAUUUUAGAGGAUUGCUUUUACAGAGAGUUCAUGCACUCCAAGAGGGUACCAUUUUUCCUAAGCAAAGUGAGAAAUUAUUGCAGUCAUGUGAUUGAUAAUGCGGCUCCAUCUCCAUCUCCGUUUGAUAAUGUGGCUUCACCAACUCAGGCAGCUCCAUCUCCAUCUCUAGUUGAUAAUGUGGCUUCACCAACUCGUGCGGCUCCGUCCCCAUCCCCAGUUGCUGAUGUGGUUUCGCCACCGCACAUGGCUCCCUCUUGGACCCCGGCCCCGGCUCCAACCACUUCUUGCAUCAAGGCAGGGGCGGCUCAACGUAAUCGGAGGCCUAAAGCGAAAUCUUAAUUAGAGGCCUAAAAUCUAAAUAAACUUCACAUGCAUUUAUUUAAAAUUUAUUUUUCUUACAUUUUUAAAUGCAAAGUAUUACCUAAUAUCUUUUUUUUAUAUAUAAAUGAUUUAUUCGAUUUCUUAUUCAAUUAUUAGUUUUAAAUAAGAUUUUAUUAAUUCAACGUUGAAAAAUAUUAUUUUACUCGGGCAAUCAUUAUAUGAAUUGUUAACAUAGUUCUACAAGUAAUAAGUUGACAAAUUUCAAAUAAAUAUAAGAGUUAGAACCAUAGCUUUGAUGAAGUUGAUAAUUUGGUUACCCCACAUUUUACUAUGGUUGCUGUAAUGCUUGAAAAUGUAAGAAGAAAUGGAAAAAGAAUUUACAAUUCAAUUUGUUCAACACUUUUCGACAAAAAGAAAAUAAUGUGAGUAUUAGUAGAGAGAGUGUAAGAAAAUAAAAUAAUAUUUUCUUGAUUUUUUCUAUUUGAAUUGGGUUGAAGAGAAUAAAAUAAUAAUUUUAAAUAUAUACUUUUUAUUAUAAAUAAUUAAUAUUUUUCUAUAAAAAAUUAACACAUAAUUUAUUCUUGGUAAAAAAUUGAGGCCCCCUAAAAUUGGGGGCCUAAGGCCAAUGUCUUAUUUUUGUAUACAUAGAGCCGGCCCUGCAUCAAGGUGGGCGGUUCUGCAUUAAAUUUUAUCACUUCCGUUUUCAAGAGUAAAAUUUCAUUAUCUACACAAUGCUGCCAAGUAAUUUCUACAAUUUCAGAUGGUUACUUUUACAAUGAGUUUACGCACUUCAAGAGGGUACCAUUUUUCCUAGGCAAAGUGAGGAAGUAUUGCCGUCAUAAUCAAAUCUUAGCUAGAGAAUAGGAUAAUGCAGCCAACUUUAUAUACGAUUUUGCCCCUCAAUAGGUGAUUAGGUGUUAGUUAAAUACUUCCACUUAAAUUCUUUAGUUAGUUCAAUUGGAUCUUCAUUUCUAUUUUACAGUUUAAUUACUACUCUCUCCAUGCAUAUUUAUUUGUCCAUGUUUGACUUGUCAUAUGAAUCUUGUGCAAUAUUCCAUUCUAUUCGACCCCGACAUCCCAACAAAUUAAUUGAUAAGAGGACUUACCAUGACAUUUUUACAUUAGCUAUAAACUUGCCACAAUCGUACAACCUAGAACAAGACUUUGUCGGCUCGAUUGUUUUAUUUUUUAACUGAAAAUCGAAUUCCUAAAACUUUUGAUUUGAGGCACUACUUUCUGAAUAGUUUAUAGGUUCUGAGCAAUGUUGUAUUUGAUAAUUAGGAGAAGCAUUACAUCAGUGGCAGCAUAGACUAUAUAUAUUGAGAUGAUUACAUCGAUACAAUCUUUAAAAAGAUGGUGGAGAUUUGUGGGUAUGCAUCUGAUUCAAUAACUUUUUGGCAUAAAUGUUAAAGUAGACAGCCGGCUUACUGAGAGGAGUCCCAUGUUGUAUCAAUAAUAGUAUAAGUAGUUGUAGUUUCCAGAGUUGCUUGGACAAUAGCAACAAAUGUGGCUUUGAUAGAACACAACGGGCUUCAAUUUGCCACCAGAGACAUUAUUUGUUUGGGGAUAUUAUUGUUAUUGGUAUCAGUAGGAGGGGGUUCAUAUUUUUGGUUUUAGGUGAUUUGAGGGAUUUGAGGGAAGGUGAGCUAGCUGGAAGGUAGGACAUUUUCUUGAAGAAGGAGAAGUCUCACAUCUAUAAAUAUAGCAACGGUUUCUGAUUGACUUGUGCAAUUACUCAGAGAGUUACAAGCAAAACACAAUCAAAUAGAGGAAAUUCAUAUUUGAGAACGUUCUUACUAAAAAAAACUGAAAAACGAAUUACUAAAACUUCUGAUGCACUACUUUAUGAAUAGUUUAUAGGUUCUGAGCAUCAAAUUUCUUUCUGCAAUAUUGUAUUUGAUUAUUAGGACAAGCAUCACAUCAUUGGCAGCAUAGACUAUAUUAAUUACAUUAAUAGGGACACACUGAAUCAACAUUUAAAAAGAUGAUGGAGAUUUGUCGGUAUGCAUAAGUGUGGAAAAUCUUGUAAAAGAUGGGGAUUGAUUUCUACAGAUUUUGAAUCACGUGCAGUUAUAGAGUUGGAUUCUGAAAAUGAGAGUUAUAGAGUUGAAAAAGAAGGCAGCGAGACAUGGACUUGAUUCUUGACUUAUUUGGCUGAUGAAUUUGGAUAUGCGUGACAAUGAGGCUUGUAGGACUUAUAUACGACAAAAAAGUAAUCUUCGGCAUUAAAGUAGACAACUGACUUACCUAGAUGAGUCCCAUGUUGAAUAUCAAUAGUAGAAGAAGCUGUUGUAGCUGCCAGAGUUGUUUGACAGUAGCAGCAAAUGUGGGCUUCGAUUUGUCAUUUUGAUUGUAGUCCUCUUUGGGGAUAUUAUUGUUAUUGGUAUCAGUAGGAGGGGGUUCAGAUUUUUGCUGUCUGUUCUGUUUUGCGGGACUGAUGUCUUUAAAAUUUUUCUCUAAUGUAUACAAUUAGUUGAGAUUAGUUAUAUGAAUCCUCGAGAUCCAUUUAUCUUUAGUUAUAUCAAUCCUCAAUGUAAAAACAUUUUUUUAUACUAAAGUGGCUGGGGAUUUCAAUGUGCUUGAUGUGGAACAAGGCUGCUAGUUGCGAGCUGCUAUGUAAUUUGUGCAGAAAAAAGAGACACCUACUAUAUAAAGGGGCAGAGAGAUACGUUCUUUUUCAUGCACACAAGCUUCAUAGAUUAGUAAUUUUUUUUUUUGGAUAAACAAGUAUGCAUCUUCUGUAACUAUGAAGCCACUGCUGGGGUUUGAAACUGCAAAAGGUUAAGUUAAGGCAAUCUGUCUGACAGAACCCUUUUAAGUUGUACAUAUUGCACUUGGUAAUAAAAUUCUUUAUCUACCCCC